UCGCUCACUCCGGAACAAGUCCAUGAGGACCAAAUCAAACUGAAAAAUUCUGUUGUUAAAACAAGUGAGGAAAAAGAAAAAGAAGAGAAAAAUACAAGUGAAAAAGAAGAAAAUGAAAAUGAAAAAGGCGAAAAGGAAAGCGAGAGAGAAACAAAAGAAAAUGUGAAUGAAGUGAGUGAACAAGAGAGAGAGCUUAAAUAAGGAAUGAGUGAAGAAGAAGAGAGUGCUCAAACACAAGGGAGAAAUAUUUUUGCUAACCCCCAUUCGAAAUCACCUUGUGAUUUCUCUUUGUUUCAGGUUUACAAGAUUCCACCCAUGGACAGGUUCCAGCUUCAUUACCCUUCUACCGAGAGACGUUUUCAAUUGAUUGAACAAGGUAAAACUGAUCCUCGUUUUCCCAUCUCUAAUGGUAAGCAAGGUGAAGUUUCUGUAUUCUCUAAACAACUACAUUCAACUCCUAUUGAUGACUUUGCUCAUGACUUGAAUUUUGAAAAGGUACUGUAUGUUAUUGUUGAUAAUUUCCAUUCUUGGAUUGAUGACAUUUUAAUUUACUCAACAACAUUAAAUGAUCAUUUUUUCCAUGUUAGAACGAUUUUAGACAUUCUAAGAGCUGAAAAAUUGUUUGCCAACCUUGAUAAAUGCACAUUUUGUUGUGAUAAGCUAAUAUUUUUAGGUUUCAUAAUUAGUGCUCAGGGUAUUCAUGUCGAUGAGGACAAAGUUAAGGCAAUCAAGGAAUGGCCAACUCCUAAAUCGAUAAUUGAGGUGAGAUCUUUCCAUGGUUUAGCUAGUUUUUAUAGACGAUUUGUGAAAGAUUUCUCCACCAUUGCAGAGUUGGUGAAAUCCUUACACGAGAAGGCUAGGCAGCGAAUAGCCAAAACCAAUGACAUCAACACCAACAAAGAAAACAAGAGGCCCAAACGGGUUGUCUUUGAACCCAGAGAUUGGGUUUGGGUCCAUAUGAGGAAAGAACGAUUUCCUACAAAAAGAAAGACCAAGUUGGACCCAAGGUGAUGUGAGCUUGCCUACGAACCAAGUAGAGAUCGAACAAGAAGCUAUAAAGCUGCCCAUUGGUCCGAUAACGCGAGCUAGAGCUAAACGAUUCAAAGAUGCUAUUUCAGCAAUGGUGGAAUGAAUUAAGGAGAAUGAUAGCAAAGAACCUAGAGAUGAGCUGAACAUUUUCAACUUCUUUGAAGCUGAAUUUCGUUCCAGCUAAUUAAUUUGUUGCUGGAAUUUUGGACCUUUUUAAAUAAGCACUUAAUUAAGUUUUACUACAGCCUUUAAAUAUGUCUUUAAUUAUUACAAGUGUUUAAUAUGUUAUUUUAGCUGAAUUGAAUGUGUCUAGAUGUCUUUAAAUUGGUCUGAACAUAAGACAUGUUUUAAUUGUGUCUAGCCGAAUUAAUAUGUCCUACUUAGUUAUAAUUUAAUUUGUUCUAAUGUCAAUUAGUAUGUUCAUAUUAUUUUUUUAAUUAAUUCAGCUGAAUUAAAUUAAAUUAAUGAGGUUUAUUUGUUUUGUUUAGGUUCAGCCGAAUGUGAAGAUGCAUGGGAAAGAUUGGCCGAAUGUGGAUUGCAUUAAACAAGAUGCAUGCAUGUUUGAUUCAAUGCACCUAGCGAUACAUGCAUGAACUACAUUAAAAAUGGUGUGCUGAUUUUUGAAGUUCUCUAAGUGACCAUUCUGCUAAAGAGAUAAUUUUUCAAAGCUGCCAUUUAUUUCUUUCACAUUGCUGGAUACAUUUUGGCCAUUCGGUUCAUGGUGUUCACACUUUAAGGCUCUUCAAAACCGUCCAUUCACACCUAAUAUGGCUGCUCAAGUACUCUCUUUAUUAUUGGUAAUUUUUCAGCAAGAGUUGCCUAUUGAAUGCUCAUUUAAGCCCAUUAGCCGAAUGUAGCUGCUACAUGCAUCUCCAAGAUCCAUUUGCUUAAUGUGGAAGUUUCAUAGUUGGUCAAAAUUCAGCCGAACCUACAUUGGCAAUAUUCAUGGAUUCAAGUUGAAUUUUUGUUCAAUGUUUGCUUAGAAAUUAAGCCUAGAAUAUGUCCAUUUGGCUACUAGACAUUAGACUAUAUAUAGUUGCUGAAUUUCUUAUAAAAGGACUUUUUGAAAAAUUUUGAAUGAAUUAUAUUUUUGGUGAGUUAAUUCACUCUCCUUAUUCUCCAAAGCUCAAUUGACUUAUCUUCACAAGUGGCGUCAAUCUGACUUUGUUUCGAACUUAUCACCAUUAGGUGUGGCGUUCUUCAUACCGUAGGUUCCUUUUUGCUAAAUAGAGGGUCUCAAUUUUUAUCCUAAUUCCUUUUCUUUCUUUGAAACCUUUUAAACCCAGGUCCUUAUUUGCUAAUUAGGGUUCGUUCUUGUUUUAUUGGAAACCAUCAAACCACCUUUUUGCUUCCUAAUUUAUUAAAUCGUUAUAACUCAAAAGAUUGAAUUUGAAUUAAAAUGACACUACCUAAUUUCAAUCGGUAACAUAUUUACGACUCGUCACAUCUUUCGAAACGAGCUCAUAUCACAAGGGGCGAUGGGCCUUUCCAAGUACUCGAGCUGAUCAACGAUAAUGUGAUACGAUCUCGGUUUAGUAGUUGAGUUCGAGUCGUUUGGUUCCCGAUCGUAAACGAAGAAGUAGAUUAGACGAGAAGGAGUUAGAAUAUAUUUGUGUACAAGAAGUAAGAUAAGUUCGUGCAAAGUUGGAUGUGGAUUUGGUUUAAGUCGAAAUGGUAUGAAUAGAAUGGAAGAGUUCGGUUUAGGAUCAUUAAGAAAUGGUAUUUGGUUUUGGUACGUUUUGGUAUUUGGGAAUUGGUACAAAAUGGUAUGGAAUUGGUAUGAAAUGGUAUGGUAUUAAAGAGGUCAAGAAUGAACCAACACUAAAGAAAAGUGUCGACCCGAAACUUAUAGGACCUAAAUGAAUUAGAAAUGGUUGAAAAGGACCUUGACCCGAUACUUAGGAAAGUAUGAACCAAAGGCAUCAAAGGUGAAUGCCACACUCGGGUUUAAGGAGUGAUAAGUUCGGAAAAGACUCAGAAAGACGCCACUAAAAGCUUAGAUAAGUCUUACGAGUCUCGAAUGAAAUUUGAGAGAAAAUGCCUCACAAAUUUGGCAGCAAUUCGCUAAUUAAAAUGUCAAAAAGUUCUUUACAAAGUAAAAAAUUCAACUAUUUAUAAUAAUCUCCUAAGCUAGCCGAAUGGUCUCUUUCAAUCCUUAAGGAGUAAGCAAAUGAACCACUUGAAUGUGCUAGCUAGAUUCGGCUGAACUUGACAAGCUUCUAGAACUCCCAUUGAACCUUGGUCACUUUGAAUGGUGCAUGAAGAAGUUAAAUUCGGCCAAUGUACAUAAAUGAACUCAUUUAAGUUGUAUCUUUUGCUGAAAAGUGACCAGCCAUUAAGAGGGAUUUGAAUGGCCAAAUGAUGUGUGAACACUCGGUUUCAAAGAGUCUUUGUGUGUGAACAUUCCAAACUGAAAAGCCAAGAGUGUGAACUUCAUGUGUGAACGGCAUUAUGCUGGUUCUUGAAUCAUUUAAAAAUCAGCUGAACAUUCCUCAUGCAUGUAACGCCACAUUCAUUGAACCUAUGAUGCAUGCACCUAGCUUAAAUGCUUCCAUCCACAUUCGGCCAACCUACACAACAUGAACAAAUGAAUUUAGUAGAUCAUUAUUCAGCUGAAUCAUAUUAAAAACGAAAUUUAGACAACAUUAAUCCAAAUAAUUAAAACAAAACUCAAUUAAUUAAACUAAGUCUAAUUAAUUCAGUUUGGACAAGACACAUUAAAACAUGUAUUAAGACUUAUUUAUAAGCUGUAGGAAUUUAAUUUAACUUAAUAACAUGUAAGAAAAACACAAUUAAUCAUGCAUAAUUAAAUCCAACCAGAUUUGAGACAAAUUAAAUAGCAAAAAUUAUUUGAGCUGAAUUUGCAAGUUUUGAGCUAAAUUGAGCUGAUUUGAGAUCAUUGAGCUAAAUUGGAAGUUAAUUCAGCUCGUAGUAAAAUGCAUGGAGUGUUCUUCGAGUUGGUCCAAGCUUCUUCGAUGUGCCCAACCAAAGUCUCGCCCCAAACUUUGUUAACUAAAGCCGAAACAGCCUCCUUGAAUUGUUUGGCUCGUGAUCGGGUGAUGGGACCUUGAGGCAGCUCCAAAGGCUCCUUGCUCGAGCUAGAUUGGACUUGAGGCGUGGCCGUAUCAUCCUCCCCCUCUUCAAAGCGAUUUGCCCUCAAAUCGGAAUCUGCAUCAAAAGGGGAUAAGUUAGAGACAUUAAAACUUGCACUUAUGUUAUACUCACCUGGUAGAUCAAGCCGAUAAGAAUUUUCAUUAAUUCGUUCCAAAACUUGGAAAGGUCCGUCGCCACGCGGUAAUAGCUUUGAUCUACGUUGGGCGGGAAAGCGUUCCUUUCUCAUGUGAACCCAAAUCCAAUCACCAGGUUCAAAGAUAAUUCUUUUACGACCCUUAUUCGCUUUCCUAGCAUAACUCUCGGUUCUUGCUUCAAUGUUGGCUUGAACUUUUCGAUGUAACUCCUUUACAUACUCGGCCUUCUUUUUAGCAUCUGCAUGAAUAAGUUGAUCGUUAGGUAAAGACGCUAAAUCUAAAGGAGUUAACGGGUUGAAUCCAUAAACGAUUUCAAAAGGAGAGUGUUUCGUUGCCGAAUGAACGGAUCGAUUGUACGCAAAUUCUAUAUGCGGUAAACACUCCUCCCAUGACUUGAGAUUUUUCCGUAUGAUGGCUCUUAACAAAGUUGAUAGCACUCGGUUGACCACUUCCGUUUGGCCAUCCGUUUGGGGGUGGCAAGUGGUUGAAAACAGCAGUUUAGUCCCGAGCUUUCCCCAUAAUGACCUCCAAAAGUGACUCAAAAACUUCGCGUCUCGAUCUGAAACAACCGUUCUCGGGAUGCCAUGCAAACGUACAAUUUCCUUAAAGAAAAGGUUAGCAAUGUGAACGGCAUCAUCAAUUUUUGAACAAGAAAUAAAAUGAGACAUUUUGGAAAAACGAUCAACAACAACAAAAAUAGAGUCCUUCCCCAUUUUAGUCCUAGGCAAUCCAAGGACAAAGUCCAUGGAGAUGUCCUCCCAAGGUGCGUUGGGUAUGGGGAGCGGCAUAUACAACCUGUGCGGCUUAAUCUUGGAUUUGGCCUUCUUGCACGUCACACAUCGCGCACACACUCGUUCAACGUCCCUUUUCAUUUUCGGCCAAUAAAAAUGCUCUUGGAGGGUUGCUGAUGUGAUCUGGCUCGGUUGAUGGAGUCGAGUUCACUUAAGUUGCCCGAUCGUCGACAAGAAGUAUUGGUUGAUGUCGAAUGGAGAUAACUUUAUGGAGUUGUUUUAAGCGGAAGUAAUUAAAAGGGUUCAAAAAUGGCUUGGUUUGGAGAAUGGAUAGGUUCGGUUUAACAAAGAAAAUAAAGUUUAAGUAGAUAGAUAAAAUGGAAUGGAAAUUGAACUCAAGCGAAGAACGAUUCAAUACCAUUUAAAGUAUUGCCCCGGGACUUAUAUUGCUUAAGGUGGGUUUAAUGGAAGUCGAAGAUGGACCUUGACCCGUUACCUAUAGAGAGGUAGGAACCAAAGGUAUAAAAAGGUGGAUGAACGCCACACCAGGAUGGUGAUAAGUUCAAGGAGUCGGGUUGGCGCCACUAGCGAGCUAGAUAAGUCAGAACGAGACUCGUACGAAAUAGGAUAGGAGGAAACCUCACAAUCAAGUUUAAUAAUCAGAAUUGUAUAACCUUUUUACAAAGAGAAAUGAACUAUUUAUAGAGUUCAGAUGAUAGCCGAAUAGUCAUACUAAACAAGCUUAAAGACUAAGUAAUUCGGCUUUAAAUGUGUAAAACUAAACUAGAAAUGUAUCCAUUAAAAGUGAUGUCCAAAUUCGGCUGUAUGGAUGUUCAAUGGCCAACUUCAUGAGUAAGGAAAUGUACUUGAAGGCUGAUGAAUGCAUGGGAUGCCAAUAGCUUUGUCUAGAUUCGGCCAAGGUGUGAAUGGGCACUUCAAAAGAUGUCUUUUGGCCGAAUAGGUGCAUAGGAAAUUCAAUGGUCAACAACCGAUGCAUGUAGGUGGAUAUUCAUGCACUCUUCCAUUCAUUGUAUUGAAUCAUUCAUGCAUCAUCUUUAAGGCAACCAUUCGUUGUAGGUAGUCAUGCAUGUACCCGAACAUACAUUGAACCAGAAAUGUUCAUGAAUCCUCAUUAAUUGUGUUCCCACAUGUGGAUGUACCUACAAAAGAUAUAAACAAAUUAGAUUCAAGGUACAUUCAGCUUAAAUUAAAUAAUAUCAAGACAUAUUUAACAAAUUAAAAUAAAGACAUAAAUAAAAUAUAAUUAAUAAUAAAUUCGGCUAGCUCAAUGAUAGUCAAAAUUCUUGAUGAGCUGAAUUGAGCUAGAAAAUUCGGUUAUGAGCUGUAGUAAAAAUAAUUAAAAUAAAACUAUCACUCAAAUUAUUCAAAUAAUAAAAUUAACGAGCUGGAAAGAAGCUAAAUUGAGCUCAAAUAGGUGGAAUUGAGCUCAAGUGAGCUGAUUGAAGUCGAAUUGAGCUAAGGGAGCUGGAAUUGAGCUGAAAUUAGCUUGCACUAAGGUGCAUGGUUUCUUUAAGGAGUUGGAUNNNNNNNNNNNNNNNNNNNNNNNNNNNNNNNNNNNNNNNNNNNNNNNNNNNNNNNNNNNNNNNNNNNNNNNNNNNNNNNNNNNNNNNNNNNNNNNNNNNNNNNNNNNNNNNNNNNNNNNNNNNNNNNNNNNNNNNNNNNNNNNNNNNNNNNNNNNNNNNNNNNNNNNNNNNNNNNNNNNNNNNNNNNNNNNNNNNNNNNNNNNNNNNNNNNNNNNNNNNNNNNNNNNNNNNNNNNNNNNNNNNNNNNNNNNNNNNNNNNNNNNNNNNNNNNNNNNNNNNNNNNNNNNNNNNNNNNNNNNNNNNNNNNNNNNNNNNNNNNNNNNNNNNNNNNNNNNNNNNNNNNNNNNNNNNNNNNNNNNNNNNNNNNNNNNNNNNNNNNNNNNNNNNNNNNNNNNNNNNNNNNNNNNNNNNNNNNNNNNNNNNNNNNNNNNNNNNNNNNNNNNNNNNNNNNNNNNNNNNNNNNNNNNNNNNNNNNNNNNNNNNNNNNNNNNNNNNNNNNNUUCAACCUUUAUGGCCAUAUGGACCAUAUCAAUGACCUCGACAUAAUGGUGUAGCUCCACAAUAUUUGCAAUAUCUCGGUUAAGGCUGGCGAGAAAUCGAGCCAUGGUGGCUUCUCGAUCUUCCUCCACAUCGGCGCGGAUCAUGGCCACUUCCAUUUCCUUGUAGUAAUCCUCCACGCUUCGUUGGCCUUGAGUUAAGCUUUGGAGCUUUUGAUACAACUCCCGGUGAUAGUAAGCAGGAAUGAAUCGCUUUCUCAUUAUGGCUUUCAUUUCUGCCCAUGUAGACAUGGGACGUUUGCCAUUGCGUCUUCGGCUCAUCGUGAGUUGAUCCCACCAUAUUAUGGCGUAUUCGGAGAAUUCUAUAGCAGCUAACUUUACCUUCUUGCUUUCCGAGUAAUUGUGGCACUCGAAAACUAACUCCACCUUCUUCUCCCAUUCAAGAUAGGCCUCAGGAUCCGACCUUCCUUGAAAAGUAGGAAUCACCAUUUUAAUGUUUUUUAAAUCAUCAUCGGUCCUCUCUCGAUCUCUUGGUCCCCGUGCUCGUUGGCCUUGUCGCCUUGCACUUUGUCGCGAAGCUCGAUCACUUUCAACAUCACUUGCUUCAUAUAGAUCAUUUGCAUGUUGCCAUGGACGUUCUCGCUCUCUUCUCGGAAUAGGAGGGGUGUUCGCACGUUGGCUUCGUUCCUCCAUUUGUUCCAUUCGUUCAUAAAGGGAAUCAAAUUGAGGUUGGAACAAACGAGAAAUUUCUCGCACGAUUUCUUGAACUUGUAGAUCGGGCACUCCGCCUCCGGGAACGUUUCUCCUUGGUUGAAGAUUAACUUCUCCACCAGCGGCAUUCGAGGCUCCUCCACUUGUUGCUCGUCGUUCCGGGCUCCUUGACAUGAUGAUUAAAAUUAAGAAAAUAUCCUCACCAAAAAAAAAACCUCACAAUUCACUCACAAGAAAAGAAUUCACUCCUCUCGUGUUUCACUCUAUUUUCGGCUUUUAUCUUGAUGUACUCUCUUGCCUUUUACCUCUCAAAUCCAACUCUCGAUAUUCUGAAAAGCUACUUAGAUUUAUCCACACUUGUGGGUCGGCUUCAAGGGGUUUGCAAGGGAAAGUCGUAGGGUUUAGGGUAGGCUCGAAAGAAAAAAAGGCUUAAGAUGUGGCGUAUAAAAUGGAUUCACUAAUUGGGAAUUUUUUUUUAAUAGCGUGAAUUUUUUUUUUACGGAUCUUUCACGUUCUUUUUGUCCGCACCUAGACCGUAUGCAAUUUUUUUUUCAAAUUUUUUUUUCAAUUUUUUUCGAUUUUUUUUCGAUUUUUUUUGAAUCUACAAUUUACGUACCUAAAUUAACCAGCUCUGAUACCAACUGAUACGAGCUCGUUUCGUAUGAAAUAACGAGUCGUAAUAUUUCCCGAUCGAAAUUAGGUAGUGUCGGCCUUGAAAUAAAUUCAAGUCUUGGUGUUUAAAAUUAAAUGGCUUUGGAAAACGAGGGAGUUUGAUGGAGUGUUGUUUGCUGGAUAUUUCAAUAAAAACAAGUCGAACCCUUAUUAGCAAAUAAGGACCCGGGGCUUAAGGUUUCAAAGAAAGAAAGGAUUUUGGGAUAAAAUCGAGACCCUCUAUUUAGCAAAAUAGGAACCUAUGGUAUGAAGAACGCCACACCAAUGGUGAUAAGUUCGAAACAAAGUCAGAUUGACGCCACUUGUUGAAGAUAAGUCAAUUAGAGCUUUGGAUAAUAAAGAGAGUGAAUUGCCUCACUAAAAUGAUAUUUCUUUCAGAAAUUUGUCAAAAGUCCUUUUACAAGAAAAUGAGUAACUAUUUAUAGCCUAAUGCCUAAUAGCCGAAUGGACAUAUUCUAGACUUAGUUUCUAAGCAAACAUUGAACAAAAAUGGCCAAUGUAGGUUCGGCUGAAUGGUGACCAUACAUGAAGCUUCCAUAUUAAGCAAAUGAAUCUUGGGAAUGCAUGUAGCAGCUACAUUCAGCUGAUGAGCUUAAUUGAUCAUUCAAUAGGCAACUCUUGCUGAAAAAUUAUCAAUAAUAAAGAGGGCACUUGAACAGCCACAUUAGGUGUGAAUGGACGGUUUUGAAGAGCCUUAAAAUGUGAACACCAAGAACCGAAUGGCCAAAAUGUAUCCAGCAAUGUGAAGGAAAUAAUGGCAGCUUGAAAAACUAUCUCUUUAGCCGAAUGGUCACUUAGAGAACUUCAAUAAUCAGCACACCAUUUUUAAUGUAGUUCAUGCAAGUAUCAUUAGGUGCAUUGAAUCCAACAUGCAUGCAUCUUGCACACCACAUUCGGCCAACCUUUCCCAUGCAUCUUCCACAUUCGGCUGAACCUAAAUAAAACAAAUGAACCUCAUUAAUUUAACUCAAUUCAGCUGAACAUAAUAUGAACAUAUUAAUUAACAUUAAGCCGAAUUAAAUAUGUACUAAACAAGACACAUUAAUUCGGCUGAACAUAGUUAAUUCAUGUAAUAUAUUCAAACAAAUUAAAUGACAUCUAGACACCUUUAAUUCAACCAAAUCAACAUAUUAAACAGUUGUAAUAAAUUAAGACAUAUUUAAAAGCUGUAAUGAAACUUAUUUAAAUGCUUAUUUAAAUGGUCUAAAAUUCCAGCAGCAAAUUAAUUAGCUAGAACGAAUUCAGCUUCAAAGAAGUUGAAUAUGUUCAGCUCAUUUUUAAACUCCUUGCUAUCAUUUUCCUCAACCCGUUCCACCAUUGCUAAAAUAGCAUCUUUGAAUCGUCUAGCUCUAGCUCGCGUUAUUGGACCAAUGGGCAGCUUAAUGGCUUCUUGUUCGUUCUCCAUUUGGUUCGUAGGCAAGCUCACAUCAGGGUUCGACUUGUUUUCAUUGAAAUAUCCAGCAAACAACACUCCAUCAAACUCCCUUGUUUCCCAAAGCCAUUUAAUUUUAAACACCAAGACUUGAAUUUAUUUCAAGGCCGACACUACCUAAUUUCGAUCGGGAAAUAUUACGACUCGUUAUUUCAUACGAAACGAGCUCGUAUCACUUGAAAUCCCGAAAGAUUUCACAAAUCUCUUCAAACGGCUCUAAUAUCCCCUCCAAAGAAUAUCGAUGGCAAGAAGAAGGUUGAAGAUGGCUCCCACAAUCAAAAGAUUGUUAAAAAAACUUCUAAAGAAAACUCAAGAGAGAAUUCUUGGAGAAAACCCCAAAGAAAAUUCUGCACUCAAUAAAUCUGAAAUUUGAUAGAAAAAAUAAUAAUAAGAUGUUUACAAAGGGUGGCUGGCCAAUGCUUAUAUAGGCCUCCAACAAAUCCUAAUCUAAUUAGAAAACUUAAAAAAUUUAAACUUAAUUAAAAAAACAAAGGAAAAUUCGGCCAUGCAUCCUAUUGGGCUGUUUUGGGCCGAAUUUAACAUGUGAUAUUCCUAAAACUUAAAAAUUAACUUAAACAACUAAAAUGUUUACAAAUUGGGCCCUUUGACAUUUUGGCCUGAUUUUCAACUGAAUAUGUAUGGAUUUCUUGAUUGGGCUGGAAUUUGGUUAUUGGGCCUCGCCUUCAAGAAUUUGGGCUCGUGAUCCAUCUCCUUCCGAAAUGGGGUCGUUGAUGCUCGUAAUGGAGAUCCAAUGCGUGUUGGCUGCAAGAUUUGGUUUCUUGGACCAAGAUUUCCAAGAUUUGAAAUCUUGAUUUUCUUGAUUCUUGAAAUCUCUUCGAACAGCAUAAUUGGGCCAAGAUUCGGUUUCUUGAUUUUCUUGAAAACAAGAAAGUGAAUCUUGAUUUUCUUGUUCUCUCGUGUAUGCAUCUAAGGCCUUGCUAACAAACUUUUGAUUGGUCCCAUUUAGUUUGGACCGCAUUUGUCGGGCCUUUGAUCUCGUUAUUGGGCCUUGUGAAAAUUUGAGCCCAUCACUUUCUUGAACUUGGGUUGGGCCUUUAUGACUCGUAUCACACUCUCUCUUAGUUUCAAUUGAUCUUCAUAAACUUGCCUCGGCGUCAUGGGAACCAAAGUUACAUUUUUCCCAUUGUAUUUAAAGGUGUAGCAGUUUGUGAAACCAUCAUGAAUGACUUUGCGAUCAAAUUGCCAUGGACGACCCAAUAACAUAUGACCAGCGUGCAUGGGUACUGCGUCGCAUAGAACUUCAUCAGAAUAUUUUCCGAUAGUGAACGGCACCAAAACUUGCUUAGUUACCUUCAACUCCCCUCCAUCGUUAAGCCAUUGAAGUUUGUAAGGUUGAGGGUGCUUAGUUGUUGGCAAGCCGAGUUUUUCAACCAUUAAAGUGCUGGCCACAUUUGUACAACUUCCGCCAUCCACGAUCAAGCUACACACCUUGCCUUGCACAUGGCAACGUGUAUGAAAAAUGUUCUCCCUUUGUUGUUCAUUUUCAACACUUUGAAGACUAAGGCUUCAUUUAAUAACGAGAAUUUCGCCAUCAACGGCGUAUUCAAGUUCAUCCUCUUCCUCCUUUUCGGCCAUUUCAUCAGGUUCUUCAUCAUCUUCUUCUUCCGAUUCAAUUUCUCCAUUAGCCCGCAUAAUCAUGUUGGUUCGGUUAGGGCAUUGACUCGCAAUGUGGCCCCUCCCUAAGCACUUAAAACACUUUAUUUCUCGUGAUCGAUUCGGUAUAGAAACUUCUUUGCCUUUGCUUGUUUCACCAACAGGUUUACUCACCUUAGAAGACAAAGGGUGAUCUUUAGUGCGAUUAGAGAAGUCUUUCUUACUCGUGCCUUGGUUCCACCUUUGAGGAUUGUUGGUGCUAGGAAAGGUUCGGCUAGAACUUUUUCUUUUCAAUUGCUUUUCAACUUUGAUAGCAACAUGCACCAUAUCAACAAUGUCAACGUAGUGUUGAAGCUCCACUACAUUGGCUAUGUCACGAUUAAGUCCGGCUAAGAAUCGAGCCAUGGUUGCUUCGCGAUCUUCUUCCACGUUCGCACGUAUCAUGGUAAUCUCCAUUUCUUUGAAGUAGUCCUCCACACUUCGAUUUCCUUGCGUAAGAUUCUGCAACUUUUGAUAAAGUUCACGAUAAUAGUAAGAAGGUAUAAAUCUCCUACGCAUUAUGGCUUUCAUUUCGGCCCAAGAUGAGAUUGGCCGCUCCCCGUUCCUUCUUCGACUUGUUGUGAGUUGAUCCCACCAUAUCAUUGCGUAAUCAGAGAACUCGAGUGCUGCCAAUUUCACUUUUUUGCUCUCCGAGUAGUUGUGACACUCGAAGACCAUCUCGAUUUUUCUCUCCCAUUCUAGAUAAGCUUUCGGAUCAGAUUUCCCAUGAAAGGGAGGAAUGGAUAGCUUAAUACUUUUUAAAUCAUCAUCAAAUUGGCCUCGAUCUCUAGGACCCCUAUUCCUUUGACCUCGUCGUCUCUCACUUUGAUUCGACGCUUGGUCACUUUCCACCUCGCUUGGCUCGUAGGGAUCAUCCACGAAAGGUCUUGCUCGCCCUCGCUCCCUUCUCAGUCCUUGAGGGGUUCCUUCUCGUGUUGGUCCUCCUUCCACUCGAUCGAGCCUCUCACUAAUAGAUUCAAGUUCAGUUUGAAGCAUUCAUUGGAAUUCCCUUAAGAGGGCUUGUUGACCUAAAUCGGGAACUCCUCCUCCAACAUUUCUUAUCGGUUGUCUUUCGGUCCUUUCCGCCAUGUUUUGCUCGGGAUUUUGAGACAUAAUAAAGUUUCCUCACCACAAAGACUCACGUUCACUCAGAAAAGAAAGAAAGAACGACACUCACGCUCGUGUUUGCACUCUUUUGGCUUUUACCUCCUCUCGAAUAUGCUCCCACACUCGUGCCUUUUUCCUCUCGUUUCUUCUCUUAUAAUUUCGUAUAAGACUCGGUAGGGCUCGAUCUUUAGUUUAGAGGGUCGGCUUCAAGGGGUUUGCAAGGGAAAGUCGUAUGGUUUAGGGUAGGCUCGAAUGAAAGAAAGGUUUAAAGAUGUGGCGUAUAAAAUGAAUUCACUAAUUGGGAUUUUUUUUAAUAGCGUGAAAAUUCACUAAAAUAGGUAUAAAGGAGUGUAGAAUGUGAUUUUAGAAAAAUUUUUGUUGAAGUGUCUCCAGACUCUUUUUUUUACGGAUCUUUCACGUUCUUUUCGUCCGCACCUAGACCGUUUACAAUUUUUUUUCUUUUCAAUUUUUUUUUGAUUUUUUUUCAAAAAUCUACUUACUCUGGCUCUUCUCAAACGUCUGAACUCCUUGUUUUAGUAGCUCUGAUACCAAAUGAUGGAACCCCGGCCUCGUUGAUGAAUUCGAGUCGUUUUUGUUGCCCAAUCGUCCUAACGAUGAAGUUUCGUUCGUCUUGAUUCAAAGCGUUAUAUUUGUUCAAUGAAGGUGUUUAUGGUUCAUUUAAGGUUAAAAGGAAAUGGUUGGUAAGGUAUUUCGGCUAAGAAAGAAAGAAAACAAAUAUUAAAGGUAUGUAAAUUUUCGGUUUAAGGUGAAAUGGAAAGAAAAGCUUAAAAACAAGAAUGAACCAACACUAAGGAAAAUGUUGACCCGAAUCUUAUAUGUCUUUAAGGUGAAUGAAAAUGGAUGUAAAAGGACCUCGACCCACUAUCUAUCAAAGAUAGGAACCUCGGUAUCAAAUGAACGCCACACUUUGGGUGAAAGUGAUAAGUCCGGGAUGCAAAGAACAAAGGUUGACGCCACUAACUAGUAGAUAAGCCAACUAAGUCUUUGGACGAAAUUGAGAGAAGAAUUCCUCACAAAAUACUUAAUUCAAUAAUCAAAAUGGCAAAAGUCCUUUUACAAAUAAACAAGCAAAUAUUUAUAGUUCUUCAAAGGCUAGCCGAAUAGACAAACUUAAAAGCUAAGAAAAAUAAAGAAAAUUCCAGAAUUAAUUCCUAAAAAAAAAUUCGACUGAAUGGGCAUUCAAAUGGGCAGCUUAAACAUGAAGCAAAUGCACCUUGCAAAGAUGAAUGCAUCGGUAGAUCAAAUGGUCUUGUCCAGGUUCGGCCUUACUUUUAAAUUACUCCUUAAAUUGGCACUUGUUGGCUGAAAAGAUAGGAACAUUAAAGAUAGUUGUUGAACAGCCACACAAGUGUGAAAAGUCGGUUUUGAAGAGUCAAAUAUGUGUGAACAUCAUCAGCUGAAUAGUCCCCCAUGUGAACACUUAAAAUAAGCUGAAUGUAGAUGUUUAAAAAUGGAACAUUCGGCUGAACAUUCAUUUGGGUAGCCAUGCAUGAAUCGGCCAAAUGCAAUGAAUCUAAGAUGCAUGCACCUUUGCCGUCCAAGGUAAAUUCCUGCACCAAAUUAAAACAGCAAAUUAAUCAUGUAUAAAACAAAUUAAAUUCGGCAACAAAUACUUGUAAAAAUCUGCACCUUUAAUCAUGUAUUAGUUUAGGACAUAUUUAAAACACUUGAACUAAUUAGGACAUAAUUAAAACACCUAAACUAAUUAGGACAUAUUUAAUAAUAUCUAAUUAUUAUUUGACCAGAAUUAAUAACUUAGAUACUUGGACUUAUGACAAAUUAAAUAACUAUUGCAGCAAAAUAAAUAUAUAGUCAAAUAAGUCUAAGAUGAGACGAAUGAACUAAAACAAGCUCAUUGAGCUUGAAGAGCUUUAAGUAGAGUGCACGAUUUGCUCAUCUUGCUGGUCCAUGAGCCCUCAAGUAGACCGGCCACGGAUUCACCCCAAAUCUGAUCAACCAAAGCUGAAAUUCCAUCUUUGAACUUCUUAGCCCUAGCUCGGGUAAUAGGUCCUUUAAGCAGCUCCAGGGAGACAUCGUUUGCACUUGAUAGCUCAUGGGGCUCGAUUGCAUCAAGGGAGGGAAUAUUACCUUAAUUCAUCACAUUGAAUGUAUAAUGUGCAUGUACAAAGGGAAGAACGAAUUUACAAAAGGUACAUGCUACCUUUCAUGAACCAGCUCAUCAUCAAUGCUUCAAUUAAGGUCUUGGCUGAACUUAGACAAUAUACUUUUGAACCUUAUAUGAAAUCUGAUUACUUUGUGAGUUUGUUUUCAACUCUCAUUGUUCUCCAACGACUCGUCUGACUUAUCAAUUAACCCUUGUGGCGUUAACCCGUCUUUCUUUUCUGAACUUAUCACUUUGCACCCAAAGUGUGGCGUUCAAAUUAUACCGAGGUUCCUAUCAUCUUUGAUAGCGGGUCGAGGUUCCAUUUUAUUCGUUCUCCAUCCAUACAACAUUUAACCUACCUAAGUAUUCCUAUAAGUCCCGGGUUAACACACUUAUAUUGUGUUGGUUCAACUUGAAUACUUGGUUUUCGUUCACCUAUCAACCUCAAUCCAUUCCAUAAUCUCUUUUGAACUAAAUUUGAGCCUUUAUCUCUUCUUUCUUAACCUAUCUUCGACAAACUUAAUAUUACUUGAUAUGGGGUUGCGCGCGGACCAAGAUCGAGUUGCCAAGUCACGAGAAACUCCUAUGAAAGCUCUAGAUGAAUCAAAUCUGAAUUCAAAACAAAGAACAAGAUUAAAAGAAAAUCAGAAUUGAAUUGAAAUUCCCCAAAUUCAAUUAAAAGAGCAGCAAGAAACAAAGAAAUAGAAAAAAACGAAUCAAACGGAAUUGAAAGUAUAGAAAGGAUGCGAUUCUGCCAAGGGAUUGAUUCGGCUAAGAAUGCCUAAUUUCCAGCAAUCAAUUGAUCCCCAAAUUGAAAGAGAUCCAAUCGGCCAAACCCUAGGAAUUGGGGAUUUUUGAGAACGACUCUUUGCUGCCAAUUAAUGAUGAUUUAAUUCGAUUCUUUGAGUUGAAUAUGACUGGAAAAACAAAAGAAGACAGCAAACAAAUGAGAUAAAGAAUCGGCACAAGUAGGAAUAAAGAAAUAAAAACGAAACAGCAAGAAAUAAAGAAAAGAAAUUGAACAGCAAGAAUAAAAGAUAAGUCCUAAAGAUCCUUGAAAUCCCGAAAGAUCUCACAAAUCUCUUCAAACGGCUCUAAUCUCCCCUCCAAAUAAUAUCGAUGGCAAGAAGAAGGUUGAAGAUGGCUCCCACAAUCCAAAGAUUGUUAAAACAACUUCUAAAGAAAACUCAAGAGAGAAAUCUUGGAGAAAACUCAAAGAAAAUUCUGCUCUCUCAAAUCUGAAAUUUAAGAAUGAAUCUAAGUGUUAUAUGUACAAGGAGUGGCCGGCCAUGCCUUUAAAUAGGCCUAAAGUAAUCCUAAUCUAACAAGUAACUAAUAAAAUUAAACCUAAUUAAUAGAAUAAAUAAAGGAAAAUUCAGCCAAGCAUAUAUAUGGGCUAUUUUUGGGCCGAAUUUUAGAUGUAUGUUCCUAAAGCUUAAAAAAAUUAAAUUAAACAAUUAAAAUGUUUAUAAAUUGGGCCCUUUGACAUUUUGGCCUGAUUUUCAACUAAGUAUGAAGGAAUUUCUUGAUUGGGCUGGAAUUUGGUUAUUGGGCCUCGCCUUCAAGAAUUUGGGCUCGUGAUCCAUCUCCUUCCGAAAUUGGGUCGUUGAUGCUCGUAACAGAGAUCCAAUACGUGUUGGCUGCAAGAUUUGGUUUCUUGGACCAAGAUUUCCAAGAUUUGAAAUUUUGAUUUUCUUGAUUCUUGAAAUCUCUUCGAACAGCAUAAUUGGCCCAAGAUUCGGUUUCUUGAUUUUCUUGAAAACAAGAAAGUGAAUCUUGAUUUUCUUGAUUUGAGCCCAUCACCUUCUUGAGCUUGGGUUGGGCCUUUGUGACUCGUAUCAUUACUCUAAUUCACGAUCGGGCACAUCAACGACUCGACUCUCAUCACCGAGGCCGGGGCGUAUCAAUUCUUGGAGAAAAACUCAAAGAGAAUUUUGCACUUAAACAAAUCUGAAAUUUUUGAUAUAUUUGAGAAGUUAAUAACAAGGUGGCAGGCCAAGCUUUAUAUAGGCCACUCAAGUGUUUUCCUAAUCUAAUUAGAAAACUAAAAAUAAAAAACUCCUAAUUACUUUAAUAUUUAAAUGGAAAUUUGGCCAAGGGCUUUUAAUUGGGCCUCUUGGACUGAAUAUUUACAUAAAAAUUUAACUAAGUAUUAAAAAAUAAAACUUUACAAAUUGGGCCACUUUGACAAUUUGGCCUGAUUUUCAAUUAAGUAUGGGUGGGCUUCUUGAUUUGAGCCCAUCACCUUCUUGAGCUUGGGUUGGGCCUUUGUGACUCGUAUCAAUCUUAUUGGGCCUUUUCUUCAAGAACUUGGGCUUGUAAUCCAAGAUUUCCAAGAUUUCCAAGAUUUGAAAUCUUGGUUUUCUUCAUUCUUGAAAUUGCUCAAAAUAGCAAAAUUGGACCAAGAUUCGGUUUCUUGAUUUUCUUGAAAACAGGAAAGUGAAUCUUAAUUUUUCUUUUUCCUUCGUAUAUGCAUCUAAGGCCUCCGUGACUCGUAUCAGUUUAGAACUCAACCAAGAACACCCAAAAUCUGAUACCAAAUGAUAGAGGGUCGCGCACGAACCAAGGUCGAGUUGUCAAGUCACGGAAAACUCCUACAAAGACUCUAAACAUUUGGAUCUGAAAUGAAACAAUAAAACUUAAUUAGAAUCAAUUAGAUCUGGAAACUAAAAAUCCCCAAAUCAAUAAAGAACAGCCCAGAAUCAAAACACUUAUGAAUGGAUGUUCUUGGAAGCCAAGAACACGAAAAUAAGCCCCAACUUCAAUCAGCCGACACUAUCAAAGAACACAAAACAACAACUAAAUUAAAAAUAGAUUGCGAAAUCAAUGGACACUAGUUCUAGGGAUUGGACGGUAAGAAAAGGGGAAUUUUUGUGAAUCAAAAACGUUUCUUUAUGUCCAAGGAAGUGUCAAAUCAGAUCUUGAAGUUUGGAAUGGCUGAAAUGAAACAACAACAAUUAAUCUGAUACGGGGUUACGCGCGGACCAAGAUCAAGUUGCCAAGUCACGAGAAACUCCUACGAAAGAUCCUAGACGAACAUAUCUGAAAUCCAAAAACAAAGAUUAAGAUUAAACCGAAUCAGAUUUGAAUUUAAAUCCCCAAAUUCAAUUAAAGGAGCAGCAAGAAACAAAGAAAUAGAAUAGAUGAAUCAAACGAAAUUGGAAGUAUAGAAAGAUUGCGAAUUGGUCAACAAAUUGAUUGGGCCAAGAAUGCCCAAUUUUCAGCAAUCAAUUGAUUCCCAAAUUGAAAGAAAUCCAAUCGGCCAAACCCUAGGAAUUGGGGAUUUUUGGGGUCGAAUGGGUGCUGCCAAUAGGAGAACAACUUAAACGAUGAAAUCUUGAGUUUAAUCAAUGCUGGAAAACAAACAAGAACAGCAAAAUAUUAGAUGAGAAAUCGGCACAAGUAUAAGCAAAGAAAAGUAAAGAAAGAAAUCGAAAACAGCAAGAAUUAAAGGAUAAGUCCUAAAGAUCCUUGAAAUCCUGAAAGAUUUCACAAAUCUCUUCAAACGGCUCUAAUCUCCCCUCCAAAGAAUAUCGAUGGCAAGAAGAAGGUUGAAGAUGGCUCCCACAAUCAAAAGAUUGUUAAAACAACUUCUAAAGAAAACUCAAGAGAGAAUUCUUAGAGAAAACCCCAAAGAAAAUUCUGCACUCAACAAAUCUAAAAUUUGAUAGAAAAAAUAAUAAUAAGAUGUUUACAAAGGGUGGCUGGCCAAUGCUUAUAUAGGCCUCCAACAAAUCCUAAUCUAAUUAGAAAACUUAAAAAAUUUAAACUUAAUUAAAAAAAACAAAGGAAAAUUCAGCCAUGCAUCCUAUUGGGCUGUUUUGGGCCGAAUUUAACAUGUGAUAUUCCUAAAACUUAAAAAUUAACUUAAACAACUAAAAUGUUUACAAAUUGGGCCCUUUGACAUUUUGGCCUGAUUUUCAACUAAAUAUGUAUGGUGAUAUGAGGUUGCGCGCGGACCAAGAUCGAGUUGCCAAGUCACGAGAAACUCCUAUGAAAGCUCUGGACGAAUCAGAUCUGAAAUCGAAACAAAGAACAAGAUUAAAAACAAAUCUGAAUUGAAUUGAAAUUCCCCAAAUUCAAUUAAAAGAGCAGCAAGAAACAAAGAAAUAGAAUAAGCGAAUCAAAUGGAAUUGAAAGUAUGGAAAGGAUGCGAAUCUGCCAAGGGAUUGAUUCGGCCAAGAAUGCCUAAUUUCCAGCAAUCAAUUGAUUCCCAAAUUGAAAGAACGGCCAAACCCUAGAAAUUGGGGAUUUUUGGGUUCGAAUGGGUGCUGCCAAUAGGAGAACAACUUAAACGAUGAGAUCUUGAGUUUAAUCAAUGCUGGAAAACAAACAAGAAUAUCAUAUGGAUUUCUUGAUUGGGCUGGGAAUUUGCUUAUUGGGCCUUGCCUUUAAGAAUUUGGGCUUGUGAUCCAUCUCCUACCGAAAUUGGGUCGUUGAUGCUCGUAAUGGAGAUCCAACGCGCUUUGGCUACAAGAUUUGGUUUCUUGGACCAAGAUUUCCAAGAUUUGAAAUCUUGAUUUUCUUGAUUCUUGAAAUCGCUCCGAACAGCAAAAUUGGGCCAAGAUUCGAUUUCUUGAUUUUCUUGAAAACAAGAAAGUGAAUCUUGAUUUUCUUGAUUUGAGCCCAUCACCUUCUUAAGCUUGGGUUGGGCCUUUGUGACUCGUAUCAUAUGGAUUUCUUGAUUGGGCUAGGAAUUUGCUUAUUGGGCCUCGCCUUUAAGAAUUUGGGCUUGUGAUCCAUCUCCUACCGAAAUUGGGUCGUUGACACUCGUAAUGGAGAUCCAACGCGCUUUGGCUGCAAGAUUCGGUUUCUUGGACCAAGAUUUCCAAGAUUUGAAAUCUUGAUUUUCUUGAUUCUUGAAAACACUCCGAACAGCAAAAUUGGGCCAAGAUUUGAUUUCUUGAUUUUCUUGAAAACAAGAAAGUGAAUCUUUAUUUUCUUGAUUUGAGCCCAUCACCUUCUUAAGCUUGGGUUGGGCCUUUGUGACUCGUAUCUUCCUCAAAAAGAUUCGUCCUCGAAUCUAAAAAAAUCAAAUGAACUCGACUUUCCUCGGUCGAACGGGACUAAUAGCAAUCGAGUCCACUGAAAAGAAUAGUCAUGAAAUAGUAAAUAGCAACGCAAACAAGCUUGUAGUCCAAUUAUAAGCAUAAUGGAACAGGUAUAACGCAUGUGAAUGGACAGAUUCAGAUUACCAUGCCUUAAUCGACGGUCUAUAGAUUCACUCACACAUGCAUUAUCAAAAACAAGAAUCUUUUUAUCAACCAUCAAAAUAGAUUUAUCAUCAAUAUAUAAAAUAGGACAGUCAAGCACGUUUCGAUCUAAGUGUUCAUCAACACGAUCUUUGUCGCUAUCCGAGGAGUACAAAAGUGUUUCAAAGGUUUCAAGCAUCUUACCUUGAUAAGCAAAAGAAUAAGGGUCGAUUUUACCUUUUUCAUUUAAAACAAACCUUCGUUCAUCAAGGGCAUAGUGUAGUCGAAUCUCCGUUGUUGAGUUAACCUUUGUCAAAUGGAACUCAAACUUCAUGUACAACCACAUAAACUGUUUAAGGCACGAAUAUAAAUUGAAAAGAAAUUUGGAAAAUUUCGUUACCUUAUUCUCCAAAAUAGAUUUGGACAAAUUCGAGGAUUUUACACAAGGUAAAUCAAGAGAAUAACAAAUCACGCUUCUUUUCGUAAUGACUUUAUCAACCACAAUCGAAGAGUAACAAUUAAUCGGAUCAAAAUGAGGGGAUCUUUUAAGAACUAAGUCACCAAAAGUUUUAUCAAUAAUUUUCAAAUCUGCACUGGACUCGGUUUCUAAAAUUUCCUUACCUCGCUUACCUUCGGGAUCAUGUAGUGUGAUUUCAUCUUUGCCUAAGUUGAUCGUAUGAAAGCGUCUUUCAUUUGAGAGGUAUUGAAGUUGAAAGUUAUCUUUCAAUCUUUCGGGAACCUGAAAAGUAGCAACACAAGAAAAAUUCAUAUCUUGGUUAGUGGAAACAUUCCUCACUACCCUUUCCAUGUCUUUUUCUUUUGUUUCUUUUUCUAAUUCAUUUUCUCUUCUUUCUUCAAUUUCUUUUUCACUCUCAAUCUCUUUUUGCUCUUUUUCAUUCUCUUUUUCUUUUUCCUCACUUGUUUUAACAGAAAUUUUCAGUUUGAUUUGGUCCUCAUGGACUUGUUCCGGAGUGAGCGGCACAAAGGUGAGUUUCUUUCCUUGAUGCUUGAAAGAAUACCUAUUGGUACGACCAUCGUGAGUGACUUUUCGAUCCAGUUGCCAUGGUUCUCCUAGCAACAAAUGGCAGGCUUGAAUAGGCAUUACGUCGCACACAACUUCGUCUUGAUACUUACCGAUAGAAAAGGCGAUGCACACUUGUUGAGUGACCCUAAAUUGGCCUUCGUUGCUAAGCCCUUGUAGUUGAUAAGGUUGUGGAUGUUUGGUAGUGGUUAAGCAAAGCUUUUCCACCAUCGUCGUGCUGGCUAUGUUCGAGCAACUUUCACCAUCAAUAAUAACUCUACAAAGCUUACCUUGUACAUGGCAGCGAGUAUGAAAGAGAUGUUCUCGUUGCUGCUCGCUCUUUGGUUUUGCCAAAGAUGAUUGUCCACGAUCAUGAAAAUCAUCAUCCAUUCUAGGGACACGUUGAGGGCUGCACCUGUAGGGCUGGUUAUCCCUAUCUUCCUUAAUUGGAUCUCGAUAUUGAUGUUUUUGAUUCACUCGUACCUCAUUCAAAGUAGUAUUCAAUGCUUGAAGUGUAGCAUUUAUUUGUGUGAUUGCAGCAGUAUGUCCGUCUAACUGUUGUUGGACUUUCAUAAGUGCAUCAUUAUUAUCACCUUUAGACUUCUUCAAAACCUGUAAAAAAUAAACACUCAACACUCAAAAAUAAAAGUUAGCAAACCUCACCAUUAAUCACUCAAAAAGAAAAAUCAAAUUCUCAAUGAGGUCGAAUUCAAUCUUGUGAGUUCUUUAUCAGAGUUUAUAUCAACCAAUUAGAGAGUGUGAACCAAACUACCAAAGAAUCCUAAUUUGCACUAGGAUGCCAAAAACUGACGAGACACCAAGUGAUUCGUGUUGCACCGAGGAAGGAGUUGUGCACACGUGUAAAUCCUACUAACACAAGAAACAAGAAGGUGUUAGAUAACGUAACGGAAUAAUAAAAGCAAACAAAUGAAAACCUACAGCUAAGAAUCAAUAAAAAUUGCUGAAAACAGAAAACCUGAAAAACUGCGGAGUAACUUGACAACUUCGUUCGAGGUGUUCUCGAUCUCUAAAAAUCACGAAAUUAAAUCUGGAAUGUCCUUAAAUAUUUAAUUUUUGAUCUGGAAAUUUUGGGCACCAAAUUCAAGUCGCUGAAUCUUUUUUUAAAUUUUUAUUGAAUUUCAUAUUUUUUUAGUUUUUUGACUUUUUUGACUGAUUUGUUUGUGGGAAUAAUUUUUUUAUAUUCAAUAGGAAUUGGGGAUUUUUGGGUUCGAAUGGGUGCUGCCAAUAGGAGAACAACUUAAACGAUGAGAUCUUGAGUUUAAUCAAUGCUGGAAAACAAACAAGAACAGCAAAAUAUUAGAUGAGAAAUUGGCACAAGUAUAAGCAAAGAAAAGUAAAGAAAGAAAUCAAAAACAGCAAGAAUUAAAGGAUAAGUCCUAAAGAUCCUUGAAAUCUUGAAAGAUUUCACAAAUCUUGAUGUCGGCUUGUGAUACGGGGUUGCGCGCGGACCAAGAUCGAGUUGCCAAGUCACGGGAAACUCCUACGAAAACCCUAAACAAUUAGAUCUGAAACGAAACAGAAAAUUAAAAGAUUAGAUUUUUGAAUUUUCAGAUCUGAAAUAAAAUCCCCAAAACAGUAAAGAAUCAAAUAGAGAAUAGAAAUAAGUGUUAGGGUUCUUGAAACCCUCAAGGAGAUUGUGAUUCUGCCCAAUUGAACACCAAGAUAGUUUUCCCCAAAUUUCGACAAUCUAAUUUCACCCAAAAAGAGUAUAGAAAAACCCUAGAAAUUGGGGAUUUUUGGGCUGAUUCCUUAAGAUAGAAAAAGGCUGAAAACACAAUAAGAACAGAAAAUAGAUUAGAUAAUGAUUCAGCCCAAGUAGAAAUAAAGAAAGAAUUGACAGUAAGAAAUUAAAAGAUAAGUCCUAAGAAGCCUUGAAAUCUCGAAAGAUCUCACAACUCCCUUCAAACGGCUCUAAUCUCCCCUCCAAAGAAUAUCAAUGGCAAGAAGAAGGUUGAAGAUGGCUCCCACAAUCAAAAAGAUUGUUAAAACAACUUCUAAAGAAAACUCAAGAGAGAAAUCUUGGAGAAAACUCAAAGAAAAUUCUGCUCUCAACAAAUCUGAAAAUUUUAAUAAUAAUGAUAAGUGUUUAACAAGGUGGACAGCCAUGCCUUUAAAUAGGCCUUAUAACUAGUCCUAAUCUAAUUAGAAAACUAAAAUAAAAAAAACUCCUAAUUAUUUUAAUAUGGAAAUUCGGUCAAAGGUCAUUUUAUCUGGGACUCUUGGACUGAAUAUUGACAUAAAAAUUUAAACUAAGUAAAUAAAUAAAUAAAUAAAUAAAAAUAAAACUUUACAACUUGGGCCACUUUGACAAUUUGGCCUGAUUUUCAACUAAGUAUGGAUGGAUUUCUUGAUUGGGCUGGGAAUUUGCUUAUUGGGCCUCACCUUCAAGAAUUUGGGCUUUUGUGACUCGUAUCAGCUUGCCUACGAACCAAAUGGAGAACGAACAAGAAGCCAUUAAGCUACCCAUUGGUCCAAUAACGCGAGCUAGAGCUAAACGAUUCAAAGAUGCUAUUUUAGCAAUGGUGGAACGGGUUGAGGAAAAUGAUAGCAAUGAGUUUAAAAAUGAGCUGAACAUAUUCAACUUCUUUGAAGCUGAAUUUCGUUCUAGCUAAUUAAUUUGAUGCUGGAAUUUAGACCAUUUAAAUAAACAUUUAAAUAAGUUUCAUUACAGCUUUUAAAUAUGUCUUAAUUAAUUUAAGUGUUUAAUAUGUCUUGAUUUAGUUAAAUUAAAGAUGUCUUGAUGUCAUUUAGUUUGUCUAAAUUAUUACAUGUUUUUAAUUUGUCUAGCCGAAUUUAUGUGUUAUGAUUUGUUAAUAUUUUAGUUGUCUCAAUGUUAUUUAGGAUGUUCACAUUAUAUUUUAAUUUAGUUCAGAUGAAUUUGCUUGAAAUUAAUUAAGUUCAUGUUUAUUUUUAGGUGCAGCCGAAUUUGGAGAUGAAUUGGGAAGAUUCAUGCAUGGAGAUUCAAUGAAUUUGAAGAUGCAUGUGCAGCUGAACUAAUGCAUUAAAAGCUGAUUAAUUUUGGUGUUCUUCAAGGCAACUAUUCGGCCAAGAGUGAUCAAGCUUUCCAUCCUUUCAAGCUUGGCCGAUUCUCUUCCCAAGGGCGUAUAAAAGCUGUUCACACUAUGUCUAUUCGGUUCAGCCAUGUUCACACUUCAAGGCUCUUCAAAACCGUCCAUUCACACUUCUAAAUGGCUGUUCAAGUUGCCAAUUAAUGCUGGUAAUUUUUCAUCAAUAGUUGCUUCAUGGAUGACCUCAUUAAACUCCAUUGGCUGAAUGUAGCUGCUGCCAUUUUUCCAAGUUCAUUGAAAGCUCUUCCUUGGUCUCUAUUCAGUCGAACCUUGAUGCAAGCAUAUACAUGAAUUUAAGCUGAAUUUUUGUUCAAUUUUUGCUUAGAAAUUAAGUCUAGAAUAUGUCCAUUCGGCUACUAGACAUUAGACUAUAAAUAGUUGCUCAAUUUCUUGUAAAAGGACUUUUGACAAAUUUCUGAAUGAAAUAUCAUUUUAGUGAGGCAAUUCACUCUCUUUAUUCUCCAAAGCUCAAAUUGACUUAUCUUCAAUAAGUGGCGUCAAUCUGACUUUGUUUCGAACUUAUCACCAUUGGUGUGGCGUUCUUCAUACCGUAGGUUCCUAUUUUGCUAAAUAGAGGGUCUCGGUUUUAUCCCAAAUCCUUUCUUUCUUUGAAACCUUAAGCCCCGGGUCUUUAUUUGCUAAUAAGGGUUCGACUUGUUUUCAUUGAAAUAUCCAGCAAACAACACUCCAUCAAACUCCCUUGUUUCCCAAAGCCAUUUAAUUUUAAACACCAAGACUUGAAUUUAUUUCAAGGCCGACACUACCUAAUUUUGAUUGGGAAAUAUUACGACUCGUUAUUUCAUACGAAACGAGCUCGUAUCAGUUGGUAUCAGAGCUGGUUAAUUUAGGUACGUAAAUUGUAGUUUUCAAAAAAAAAUCGAAAAGAAAAAAAAUUGAAAAAAAAAAUAUAUUGCAUACGGUCUAGGUGCGGACGAAAAGACGUGAAAGAUCCGUAAAAAAAAGAGUCUUGAAACACUUCAACAAAAAUUUUCCCAAAAUCACUUUCUACACUCCUUUAUAUCCAUCUUUGAUGCAACCUUAGCCCGGGAAAUUACUACCGAAUCCAUUGAGCUGCCACGAGGACCAAUAACUCGAUCACGAGCUAAGAGAUUUCAAAAUGAAAUAGCAAGCUAUGUGGAACGAGCUUGGGAAGAGGGAGUGGCCGAAUUUGAUAGUCGUGCUUCAAACCGUUCAAAAGGCGUUACUUGCAAUUUAUUGCAAGCUGAAUUUGUUUCUUUUAAUUAACUUGUUUUAGUUUAAUAAAUAAGUUGCUGAUCAAUUAAUUUAACUUAUCUUAAAGUUUUAAUACAUGAGUUAGUUAUUGAACUUUAUUAAAUAAGAUGCUUCUUAAUUGAUCUAGUUCCUAGGAUUAUUUAUUGAUGCAUAAAUUAAGUUCUUUAAAUUAUGCUUCUUUAAUUAAACUAGUUGCUGGAAUAAUUAUUGCAUAUAUGUUUUAGUUCAUUUAUUUAAGUAAGUUUAAUAUGUGUUAUGAUUAAUAAGUGUUUUAAUUUGCUUAAUAAACUCAUUUUAAUGUGUUUAUUGCAGGUGACUUUUUAGCUUAUAGUGGUUACAAUUCAAGGCUGUUACACAUUUAAUAAGUGGCUGUUCAAGUUCUUUUGAGUUACAAUUAAAGGGGCUGUUAAAAAAAGGAGCUUAAAGAUCAUUAAAAGGAGUUUUUAAAGAGCAUUUUAUGCCCUUUAAAAUUCAGCAGUAACUCUUCCACUUCCAGCCGUUUUUGGAGCUUUCAAGAGAAAUUAAUCAAACCUUUGAAUGUCAUUAAGUAGCAGGUUAAAAGAUGGUGUCUAUUCAGCUAGCCAAGGACAACUCAAGAGACAUUUUUAAGACAUUAAAGACAUUCAAAUCAGCUGAAUUGAAAUGAUUUUAUGGAAGGAGUUAUUUGGUUCAAAGCAUAAGAAAAGACAUCAGUUUUUAUGGCACAUUAAGUGGAUGUUUUUUUUGACCAUUCGGUUACCUUGUUCUAGCAUUAUAAAUAGUUGUAAUCAGCCUUGGAGUGGGGACUUUUGCUGAAUAUAGAUGUUAUAUUUGAAUUGUGAGCUAUCCAAUUCUCUUUGUUCUUACGGAAUUGAUUUGACUUAUCAAGCAUAGCUUGUGGUGUCCAUCUUUUCUUUGUUUACCGAACUUAUCACCUUUGGUGUGGCAUUCAAUAUACCUUUGGUUCCUAUCAUAGUUGAUAUAAUGGGUCAAGGUUUCUUGCUGUUUCUUUAAACCGUUAAACACCUAAGCACCAUUUUGAGAUUCAGGUCAACAAUUCCCUUAUUUGUUGGUUCAUUCUCGGUCUUAUCCAAUUAACUUGUUAUUAUUUCUUAUCUAUUUUGUUUAUUACCUUUGUUUGAAGCCAUUAUUUCUAUUUUGUUUCCUUUAAACCGAAACGAUUCUAUUCUACUCAAUUCACGAUCGGGCAUCACUAACGACUCGAAUCAAUCACGAAACGAGUUCGUAUCAAAUUGGUAUCAGAGCUAGUGAAUUUGGAGUAAGAAUUGACAUUGUCGGUAAUACGGUAUAGUAGUUUCUUCAAAAAAAUAUUUGAAAAAAAAAUUCAAAAAAAAAAUUGGUUUCCUUUCAAACUCAAGAGAUUGGAUAUCAAGUUGAAAAAAAAAAUUUCGUGAAAAAAAAAAUUUGUGAAAAAAGAAGAAGAAGCUAGUUUUGAAAUUUUGUUGUUGUUUGCUGCCCAAAUUAUAGUUAUUACUACCUUCUACUAUUUCGCCACAUCCAACCUUUUCAUUUCUUGUUUCAAGCCUACUUUCCUUUGUCCUACAAUAUUCUUCCCAAGCCCAAACAUCAAGGUUGUAAGCCAACCCACAACAACUGCUUUUUAAGUUUAAAUAAUUCCUAAGAACUUAGAGAGGAGGAGUGAGUGGAAAGAGGCAAGAGAGUGGUGAGUUUAUUCGAGAGUAUAAAAGCCAAGGAAGUGAGAUUUCUUUGUGAGUGGAUAGUGAGAUUCUUUGUUGUGAGUUCAUUUAAAAAAAAUGUCACAAAGUCUGGAAAGAAAUCAAAAUGUGGAAGGAGGGUUCCGUCCCGUAAGAAAUGUUGGAGGAGGAGUGCCAGAUCUUACCCUUCAAGCAAUUAUGCGAGAGAUGGAGCGAUUAUUUGAUAGAAAACUUGAACCAAUUGAAGAUCGAUUAUAUCGAGUCGAGAGACGAGAACAACGUGAGAUGACUCCGGAAGAUGCAAGAUAAGAGCGAGAACGUCCAAUUCAAGAUCCUUAUGAAGCAAGUGGACAAGAAAGUGAUCACUCAUCUGCCCAAAGUGUACGACGUCGAGGCCGUCAACGGCAACGAGGUCCUAGAGAUCGUGAACGACCAGAUGACAAUCUUAAGAAUAUCAAGAUGACAAUUCUACCAUUCCAAGGUAAGAAUGACCCUGAAGCUUAUUUGGAGUGGGAAAAGAAGAUUGAGCUUGUUUUUGAUUGCCACAACUAUUCGGAGAGUAAAAAGGUGAAACUCGCGGCAAUUGAGUUUUCUGAUUAUGCCAUAGUGUGGUGGGACCAGCUUGUAACUAGUCGACGACGAAAUGGUGAAAGACCCAUCUCUACUUGGGGAGAAAUGAAAUCAGUCAUGCGGAAAAGAUUUAUUCCAUCAUACUACCAUCGAGAUCUUUAUCAACGACUUCAAAACCUUACUCAAGGAAAUAGAAGUGUUGAAGACUAUUAUAAGGAGAUGGAGAUAGCGAUGAUUCGAGCUGAUAUCGAGGAGGAUCGAGAGGCAACCAUGGCUAGGUUCCUUGCGGGUUUAAACCGUGACAUUGCCAACAUAGUUAAACUACAACACUAUGUUGAAGUGAUGGACAUGGUUCACAUGGCGAUUAAGGUUGAAAAGCAACUUAAGCGAAAAGGAGUUAGUAGACCCUAUGCCAAUUCUUCAACCAACAAAUGGAAUCAAAGAGUCAACAAACCCCCUGUUAGAACAAAAGAGCCGACUGUAGUAGUUAAAUCAAAUCAACCCGUUGGAGAGACAAGUCGAAAUAAAAAUGAGCAAGCGCCAAAUCGCACGAGAGACAUAAGAUGUUUCAAGUGUCAAGGCCGAGGGCACAUAGCUAGUCAAUGUCCCAAUCGACGAAUUAUGGUGAUAAGAGCUGAUGGAUAAGUUGAGUCAGAGGAAGAGGAACAAGAAAGUCAAAAAGAAAUUGAGAGUGGUAAAAUGAGCGUAUUUGGGAGAGAAAAAGAGAUAAGAAAAUCAUUGUUGUUGCAUCAACCCGUACUUGUACUUAUGUACAAGGAAUGCUUAUUUGAUGCUAACGAACUUGAUAAUUCUUUACCUUUGUCUAUUGUUUCAUUGCUUCAGGAAUUCAAAGACGUUUUCCCGGAAGAUGUGCCAAGUGGAUUGCCUCCUUUUCGAGGUAUUGAACACCAAAUAGACUUUAUUCCCGGAGCUACAAUUCCAAAUCGACCAGCUUAUCGAAGCAACCCAGAGGAAACUAAAGAGUUGCAACGACAAGUAGCGGAAUUAAUGGAAAAAGGCUAUAUACGGGAGAGUUUAAGUCUAUGUGCGGUUCCUGUUCUGUUGGUGCCUAAAAAAGAUGGUUCAUGGAGGAUGUGCGUAGAUUGCCGAGCUAUCAACAAAAUUACCAUCAAAUACCGACAUCCCAUUCCUAGACUUGAUGAUAUGUUGGACGAGCUUAGUGGUGCAAAAUUGUUCUCUAAGAUUGAUCUGAAAAGUGGCUAUCAUCAAAUUCGUAUGCGGGAGGGGACGAGUGGAAGACUGCAUUUAAGACUAAAUACGAUUUGUAUGAGUGGUUAGUGAUGCCUUUUGGCCUCACCAAUGCACCGAGUACUUUCAUGAGGUUGAUGAACCACGUUUUGAGGUCUUUCAUUGGUCGAUUUUGCGUAGUUUAUUUUGACGAUAUUUUAAUUUACAGCAAAUCAUUAACUGAACAUCUUGAACAUUUGCAUGCUAUUUUGAAGGUUUUACGAAAGGAAGUAUUAUAUGCAAACCUUAAGAAAUGUAACUUUUGUACUGACAAAGUUGUUUUUCUAGGUUUUGUUGUAAGUGCGAAUGAACUAGAGGUUGAUACGAACUCGUCUCGUGAUGUUUUGAGUCGUAUGUGUUGCCCAAUCGUGAAUUGAGUAAGGAUGGAUUCGUUUCGGUUUUAAAAUGAAACAAAAUAAAGAUAAUGGCUUCAAAAAAAGGUAAUAAACAAAAUAAAGUGGAAACAACAACAAAUUAAUUGGCUAAGACCAAAAAUGAACCAACAAUAACGAAUUGUUGACCCGAAUCUCAAAAUGGUCUUUAGGUGUUUUCGGUUAAAGGAAACAGGAAAGGAACCUUGACCCACUAUCAACUGUGAUAGGAACCAAAGGUAUAUUGAACGCCACACCAAAGGUGAUAAGUUCAGCAACAAAGAAAAGAUGGACGCCACAAGCUAUGCUUGAUAAGUCAAAUCAAUUUCGAAAGAACAAAGAGAAUUGGAUAGCUCACAAUUCAAAUAUUUCAUCUAUAUUCAGCAAAAAGUUGUUCCCUCUAUGGCUGAUUACAUCUAUUUAUAAUGUUAGAACAAGGUAACCGAAUGGUCAAAAACAUCCACUUAAUGUGCCAUAAAAAACUGAUGUCUUUUCUUAUUCUUUGAACCAAAUAACUCCUUCCAUAAAAAUCACUUUAAUUCAGCUGAUUUGAAUGUCUUUAAUGGCUUAGAAAAUGACUCUUGAGUUGUCCUUGGCUAGUUGAAUAGACACCAUCUCUUACCAGCUCCUUAAUGACAUUCAAAGGCUUGAUUAAUUUCUCUUAAAAGCUCCAAAAAUGGCUAGAAGUGGAAGAGUUGCUGCUGAAUCUUAAAGGGCAUAAAAUGCUCUUUAAAAACUCUUUUUAAUGAUCUUUAAGCUCCUUUUUUUAACAGCCCCUUUAAUUGUAACUCAAAAGAACUUGAACAGCCACUUAUUAAAUGUGUAACAGCCUUGAAUUGUAACCACUAUAAGCUAAAAAGUCACCUGCAAUAAACACAUUAAAAUGAGUUUAUUAAACACAUUAAAACACUUAUUAAUCAUAACACAUAUUAAACUUACUUAAAUAAAUGAACUAAAACAUAUAUGCAAUAAUUAUUCCAGCAACUAGUUUAAUUAAAGAAGCAUAAUUUAAAGAACUUAAUUUAUGCAUCAAUAAAUAAUCCUAGGAACUAGAUCAAUUAAGAAGCAUCUCAUUUAAUAAAGUUCAAUAACUAACUCAUGUAUUAAAACUUUAAGAUAAGUUAAAUUAAUUGAUCAGCAACUUAUUUAUUAAACUAAAACAAGUUAAUUAAAAGAAACAAAUUCAGCUUGCAAUAAAUUGCAAGUAUCGCCUUUUGAACGGUUUGAAGCACGACUAUCAAAUCUGGCCACUCCCUCUUCCCAAGCUCGUUCCACAUAGCUUGCUAUUGCAUUUCAAAAUCUCUUAGCUCGUGAUCGAGUUAUUGGUCCUCGUGGCAGCUCAAUGGAUUCGGUAGUAAUUUCCCGGGCUAAGGUUGCAUCAUUCCCCCCCUCUUCGAGGCGAUUUGCUCCCAAAUAUGUCACUUACAUCGAAAAGAGAUAAAUCAGCAACAUUAAAAGUAGCACUAACCCCAUACUCACCAGGUAAAUCUAACUUAUAAGCGUUAUCAUUAAUUCUCUCCAAGACUUGAAAAGGUCCAUCUCCUCGUGGUAAUAGUUUGGAUCGCCUUUGAACGGGAAAUCUCUCCUUGCGCAUGUGAAUCCAAACCCAAUCACCAGGUUCAAAUAUUACUCGUUUACGGCCCUUGUUAACUUGAUGUGCAUAUUGCUCCGUUCUUCGUUCAAUAUUAUCCCUAACUCGCUGAUGUAAUUGUUUCACAAAUCUGCCUUUUUCUUUCCAUCUACAUGCACCAAUUUAUCAAAAGGUAAAGGCAAUAAAUCCAAUGGAGUUAAGGGAUUAAAUCCAUACACUACCUCAAAUGGUGAAAACUUGGUAGCUGAAUGUACCGAUCGAUUGUAUGCAAAUUCAAUGUGAGGUAGACACUCCUCCCAAGUUUUUAAAUUCUUACGUAUAAUGGCCCGCAGUAGUGUUGACAGAACUCUAUUAACAACCUCUGUUUGGCCAUCAGUUUGGGGAUGACUUGUUGUGGAAAAUAAUAGCUUAGUUCCAAUCUUUCCCCAUAAAGUCCUCCAAAAGUGGCUGAGAAAUUUAGUGUCUCGAUCCGAAAUAAUGGUUCUUGGAAUUCCAUGCAAUUGUACAAUCUCCCUAAAAAAUAGAUUGGCAACAUUUAAAGCAUCGUCAGUUUUGUUACAUGCAAUGAAAUGAGCCAUUUUUGAAAACCGAUCAACUACAACAAACACAGAAUCUUUGCCAUUCUUUGUUCUAGGAAGACCCAAAACAAAGUCUAUAGAAAUAUCCAUCCAUGGCAUUUCUGGAAUCGGUAAUGGAGUAUAGAGUCCAUGUGGCUAGACCCUUGAUUUCGCCUUCUUGCAAACAAUACAGCGAUUGCACACUUUAGCCACAUCUCGUUUCAUCUUUGGCCAAUAAAAGUGUUCUUGAAGAACGGCCAAAGUUUUGGCAAUACCAAAAUGUCCCAUUAAACCCCCACUAUGUGCUUCAUGAACCAGCAAAUUUCUAGUUGAUCCUUGGGGUAUGCACAACUUAUUUUCUCGAAAUAGGAAUCCAUCUUGCUGAUAGUACCUGUCAUACGCACCUUGCACACAUAACUUGUAAACUUCUCCAAAAUCAGAAUCAUCAGCAUAUAAUUCCUUUAAAUAAGUAAAACCAAGUAACUUAACAUCCAAAUAAUUUAAAAGAGCAUACCUUCGCGAUAAAGCAUCUGCAACGAUAUUUUCCUUACCUUGCUUAUACUUAAUCACAUAUGGAAAGGAUUCUAAGAAUUCUACCCAUUUUGCAUGUCGUUUGUUAAGCUUAGUUUGCCCUCUCAAAUGCUUCAAAGCCUCAUGGUCCGUGUGUAUAACGAACUCCUUAGGCCAAAGGUAAUGAUGCCAUGUUUCUAAUGCACGUAUCAAUGCGUACAUUUCUUUGUCAUAUGUGGGAUAAUUGAGCGUAGCUCCAUUAAGUUUCUCGCUAAAAUAAGCCACCGGUCGCCCAUCUUGCAUUAAAACCGCACCUAUUCCUAUUCCAGAAGCAUCACAUUCUACCUCGAAAAUUUUGUUAAAAUUCGGCAAACAUAAAAGUGGAGCAUUAGUUAAGCAAUCUUUGAUUUUAACAAAAGCAGAUUCUUGUUCAUCAGACCAAAUAAAAGGUGAAUUUUUUUUGAUAAUACCGGUUAAUGGGGCAGCAAGAGUGCUAAAAUUCGAUACAAACCUCCUAUAGAAGCUUGCAAGGCCAUGAAAGCUUCUAACUUGGCUGAUGUUAUUCGGUCGUGGCCAUUCUUGUAUUGCUUUAAUCUUCUCUUGGUCCACCUCUAAUCCAUUCGCACUUACAACAAAACCUAGAAAAACAACUUUGUCAGUACAAAAGUUACAUUUCUUAAGGUUUGCAUACAAUACUUCCUUUCGUAAAACCUUCAAAAUAGCAUGCAAAUGUUCAAGAUGUUCAGUUAAUGAUUUGCUGUAAAUUAAAAUAUCAUCAAAAUAAACUACGCAAAAAUGACCAAUGAAUGACCUCAAAACGUGGUUCAUCAACCUCAUGAAAGUACUCGGUGCAUUGGUGAGGCCAAAAGGCAUCACUAACCACUCAUACAAACCGUAUUUAGUCUUAAACGCAGUCUUCCACUCGUCCCCCUCCCGCAUACGAAUUUGAUGAUACCCACUUUUCAGAUCAAUCUUAGAGAACAAUUUUGCUCCACUAAGCUCGUCUAACAUAUCAUCAAGUCUAGGAAUGGGAUGUCGGUAUUUGACGGUAAUUUUGUUGAUAGCUCGGCAAUCUACGCACAUCCUCCAUGAACCAUCUUUUUUAGGCACCAACAGAACGGGAACCGCACAUGGACUUAAACUCUCCCGUAUAUAGCCUUUUUCCAUUAAUUUCGCCACUUGUUGUUGCAACUCUUUAGUUUCCUCUGGGUUGCUUCGAUAAGCUGGUCGAUUUGGUGUUCAAUACCUCGAAAAGGAGGCAAUCCACUUGGCACAUCUUCCAGGAAAACGUCUUUGAAUUCCUGAAGCAAUGAAACAAUAGACAAAGGUAAAGAAUUAUCAAGUUCGUUAGCAUCAAAUAAGCAUUCCUUGUACAUAAGUACAAGUACGGGUUGAUGCAACAACAAUGAUUUUCUUAUCUCUUUUUCUCUCGCAAAUACGCUCAUUUUACCACUCUCAAUUUCUUUUUGACUUUCUUGUUCCUCUCGUACUUUUACCUCCACUCCCUCAAUUUUUUCUUUCUUUUUUUCAUUUUUCUUGUCUCUCUCUUUUUCAAUCUUUUCCUUCAACUUCAAUUGAUCUUGGUACACUUGCUUUGGAGUCAAUGGCGCUAAAGUUACAUUCUUGCCUCGAUGCUUGAAUGUAUAGCGAUUUGUAUAACCAUCAUAGAUCACGCGCCUAUCAAACUGCCAUGGACGUCCCAAAAGUAGAUGUCCCGCAUGCAUAGGAACUACAUCGCACACCACUUCAUCUUGGUACUUUCCAAUAGAAAAUGCCACCACAGCUUGUUUUGUUACUUUCAGCUCACCUCCAUCAUUUAGCCAUUGCAACUUGUAUGGAGUUGGAUGUUUAGUUGUAGCCAAACCUAGCUUUUCCACCAACAUAAUACUAGCUACAUUAGUACAGCUACCACCAUCAAUGAUCAUACUACAUACCUUGCCUUGAAUGUGGCAUCGAGUGUGAAAAAUAUUCUCCCUUUGUUGAUCAGUUUCAACACUUUGAAUACUGAGGCUACGCUUCACCACAAGAAUUUCUCCUUCAACGAGUAACUCUAAAUCUUCAUCAUCGGAUGGCAGUUCAGGUUCAUUUUCAUCCUCUUCCUCCGACUCAACUUCUCCAUCAGCUCUUAUCACCAUAAUUCGUCGAUUGGGACAUUGACUAGCUAUGUGCCCUCGGCCUUGACACUUGAAACAUCUUAUGUCUCUCGUGCGAUUUGGCGCUUGCUCAUUUUUAUUUUGACUUGUCUCUCCAAUGGGUUGAUUUGAUUUAACUGCUACAGUCGGCUCUUUUGUUCUAACAGGGGGUUUGUUGACUCCUUGAUUCCAUUUGUUGGUUGAAGAAUUGGCAUAGGGUCUACUAACUCCUUUUCGCUUAAGUUGCUUUUCAACCUUAAUCGCCAUGUGAACCAUGUCCAUCACUUCACCAUAGUGUUGUAGUUCAACUAUGUUGGCAAUGUCACGAUUUAAACCCGCAAGGAACCUAGCCAUGGUUGCCUCUCGAUCCUCCUCGAUAUCAGCUCAAAUCAUCGCUAUCUCCAUCUCCUUAUAAUAAUCUUCAACACUUCUAUUUCCUUGAGUAAGGUUUUGAAGUCGUUGAUAAAGAUCUCGAUGGUAGUAUGAUGGAAUAAAUCUUUUCCGCAUGACUGAUUUCAUUUCUCCCCAAGUAGAGAUGGGUCUUUCACCAUUUCGUUGUCGACUAGUUACAAGCUGGUCCCACCACACUAUGGCAUAAUCAGAAAACUCAAUUGCCGCGAGUUUCACCUUUUUACUCUCCGAAUAGUUGUGGCAAUAAAAAACAAGCUCAAUCUUCUUUUCCCACUCCAAAUAAGCUUCAGGGUCAUUCUUACCUUGGAAUGGUGGAAUUGUCAUCUUGAUAUUCUUAAGAUUGUCAUCUGGUCGUUCACGAUCUCUAGGACCUCAUUGUCGUUGACGGCCUCGACGUCGUACACUUUGGGCAGAUGAGUGAUCACUUUCUUGUCCACUUGCUUCAUAAGGAUCUUGAAUUGGACGUUCUCGCUCUUGUCUUGCAUCUUCCAGAGUCAUCUCACAUUGUUCUCGUCUCUCGACUCGAUAUAAUCGAUCUUCAAUUGGUUCAAGUUUUCUAUCAAAUAAUUGCUCCAUCUCUCGUAUAAUUGCUUGAAGGGUAAGAUCUGGCACUCCUCCUCCAACAUUUCUUACGGGACGGAACCCUCCUUCCACAUUUUGAUUUCUUUCCGGACUUCGUGACAUAUUUUUUUUAAAAUGAACUCACAACAAAGAAUCUCACUUCCUUGGCUUUUAUACUCUCGAAUAAACUCACCACUCUCUUGCCUCUUUCCACUCACUCCUCCUCUCUAAGUUCUUAGGAAUUAUUUAAACUUAAAAAGCAGUUGUUGUGGGUCGGCUUACAACCUUGAUGUUUGGGCUUGGUAAGAAUAUUGUAGGACAAAGGAAAGUAGGCUUGAAUCAAGAAAUGAAAGGUUGGAUGUGGCGAAAUAGUAGAAGGUAGUAAUAACUAUAAUUUGGGCAGCAAACAACAACAAAAUUUCAAAACUAGCUUCUUCUUUUUUUUCACAAAAAUUUUUUUUUCACGAAUUUUUUUUUCAACUUGAUAUCCAAUCUCUUGAGUUUGAAUGGAAAAUUUUUUUUUUGAAUUUUUUUUUGAAUUUUUUUUAAAUAAACUACUAUACCGUAUUGCCGACAAUGUCAAUUCUUACUCCAAAUUCGCUAGCUCUGAUACCAAUUUGAUACGAACUCGUCUCGUGAUGUUUUGAGUCGUAUGUGUUGCCCAAUCGUGAAUUGAGUAAGGAUGGAUUCGUUUCGGUUUUAAAAUGAAAAAAAAUAGAAAUAAUGGCUUCAAACAAAGUUAAUAAACAAAAUAAAGAGGAAACAAUAACAAAUUAAUUGGCUAAUACCGAAAAUGAACCAACAAUAACGAAUUGUUGACCCGAAUCUCAAAAUGGUCUUUAGGUGUUUUCGGUUAAAGGAAACAGGAAAGGAACCUUGACCCACUAUCAACUGUGAUAGGAACCAAAGGUAUAUUGAACGCCAGACCAAAGGUGAUAAGUUCAGCAACAAAGAAAAGAUGGACGCCACAAGCUAUGCUUGAUAAGUCAAAUCAAUUUCGAAAGAACAAAGAGAAUUGGAUAGCUCACAAUUCAAAUAUUUCAUCUAUAUUCAGCAAAAAGUUGUUCCCUCUAUGGCUGAUUACAUCUAUUUAUAAUGCUAGAAUAAGGUAACCGAAUGGUCAAAAGCAUCCACUUAAUGUGCCAUAAAAAACUGAUGUCUUUUCUUAUUCUUUGAACCAAAUAACUCCUUCCAUAAAAUCACUUUAAUUCAGCUGAUUUGAAUGUCUUUAAUGGCUUAGAAAAUGACUCUUGAGUUGUCCUUGGCUAGUUGAAUAGACACCAUCUCUUACCAGCUCCUUAAUGACAUUCAAAGGCUUGAUUAAUUUCUCUUAAAAGCUCCAAAAACGGCUAGAAGUGGAAGAGUUGCUGCUGAAUUUUAAAGGGCAUAAAAUGCGCUUUAAAAACUCCUUUUAAUGAUCUUUAAGCUCCUUUUUUUAACAGCCCCUUUAAUUGUAACUCAAAAGAACUUGAACAGCCACUUAUUAAAUGUGUAACAGCCUUGAAUUGUAACCACUAUAAGCUAAAAAGUCACCUGCAAUAAACACAUUAAAAUAAGUUUAUUAAACACAUUAAAACACUUAUUAAUCAUAAUACAUAUUAAACUUACUUAAAUAAAUGAACUAAAACAUAUAUGCAAUAAUUAUUCCAGCAACUAGUUUAAUUAAAGAAGCAUAAUUUAAAGAACUUAAUUUAUGCAUCAAUAAAUAAUCCUAAGAACUAGAUCAAUUAAGAAGCAUCUUAUUUAAUAAAGUUCAAUAACUAACUCAUGUAUUAAAACUUUAAGAUAAGUUAAAUUAAUUGAUCAGCAACUUAUUUAUUAAACUAAAACAAGUUAAUUAAAAGAAACAAAUUCAGCUUGCAAUAAAUUGCAAGUAACGCCUUUUGAACGGUUUGAAGCACGACUACCAAAUCUGGCCACUCCCUCUUUUGAUGUGAUCCGGCCUGGGUUAAUUGAGUCGUUUCACGUAAUUGCUCGAUCGUCGACGAGGAAUAGUUGAGUUAUCGGAAAUAGGAUGAAAUAAGGCUAAAGAUGCGGAAGCUUUCAAAUGGUUUUAAAGGUUGGCUAAUGAUGUGAUCCUGAUCGCAUCAUGUAAUGUCACAACCCAACGCCGUCGAGAUUGGCCUAAACACGAGGGCCCCAAGUGCAAGAUGAAGCUAACUUUUAGCUCAUUUGAAUUUCUUUUCGUGUGGUUCAACUCAUUCGAGCUCAAGUUAGCUCAUUAGUGCUCAAGUCAGCUCAUUCAAGCUCAAUUUAACUCAUUGAGCUCGUUAUUAGCUCUUUAGCUCUUUUAAUUUAAUUUGCCGGAAUAAAUUAAUUAGUUGAGUUAGUUAUUUUAGCUCAAAUAAUUACUAAGUGUUUAAGUAAGAAAUCUGGACAUUUUAAUUAUGUUUGCUUGUUGCAUGUUUAAUUUGUUUUAAUUAUUACCUAGCAUAAAUGUGUUUGCCUUAUUACAAUUAUUUAAUGUGUCUUAUUGCUGAUUUAUUAUGCCUAAGCUGUUAUUUAAUGUUCAGCCAAAUUUAAUUAACUUGUCUAGGAUGCUGAAUUAAAUGUGUCUUAGUUGCCGAAUUUAUUGAUGUUUUUUCAUUAGUUUCAGCCGAAUUUAUGAGCAUAUUUAUUGAUCAAAUUGCUGCCAAUUUAAUUUGUCUUAAGAUGCUGAUUUUUAAUGAGCAGAUAUUAAUGACCGAAUUUAAUUAUUUGGCUGCAGGUUUAAUAGCUUGGACGGCAAUUUAAGGAAGUGGAUGUUGGCCGAAUUUAAUGUACAGCAAGACAUGCAUUAAAGAUGCUAUUCUACAUGCAAGGAACGGCAUUAAAGGAGUUGUUUGUGCUUUUUCAUGUGGCCAUUUAAUGGACAAAAUUAAAGAAGCUGCUUGCUGAUUUAAUGUGCAGCAAAGACAUGAAUUGAAUGAGAUGUUCCCAUGUAUGGAACGGCAUUUAAAGGGAAGCAAAACAUGAAUUAAAUGAGAUAUUCACCAUGCAUGGACGGCAUUAAUGAAAGCAUGCAAGGGGGGACGUUAUUGAACAGCAUUAAAGCUGGUAUUGCUUCGGGUACAGCAAAGAGCUGUUGUUUGGGGAAUUUCCAAGUGACCAUUCGGCCAAAGCAUGUCUGUUGCUUAAUUAACCAAGGUUGACGUUUCAUACUCCCAAGAAGCAUUUAGGAGCUGUUUUGUGUGCCCAAAACGUCAAUAAAAAUGGUCAAGCUGUUCAACUCACAAGGAGGCUUCAUUAAGGUGCAUUCAACUUCAUUGGCCGAACCAAGACCCCUUAUUCAGCUCACCAAUACUUCCAUUAAUGUCCAGCUGAAUGGAUUACAUCUAGAAGCUGUCCAGUUGACUUCUUCAUGCAUGAAGCUUCCCAAAAAUGUCUUAGGAAGGUUGCUGGAAAUUUCUAGUCUCUUUUGUUUUAAUUUUGGCUGACCAUUCAGCAUCUUGUUAGUCCAUUCGGCUACCUUAGGAAUUUAGCUAUAAAUAGCUUGCUUUGUAUUCGUUUUAAGGUUAGACAAUAUAUUUUUAAAACUUAUAUGAAAUUUGUUUACUUUGUGAGUUUGUUUUCAACUCUCAUUGUUCUCCAAGGACUGGUUAGACUUAUCAAGUAACCCUUGUGGCGUCAACCCGUUUUUGUAUUUCGAACUUAUCACUUUGCACCCAAAGUGUGGCGUUCAAGUUAUACCGAGGUUCCUAUCAUCUUUGAUAGUGGGUCAAGGUUCCAUUUUAUUCGUUUUCCAUCCAUACAACAUUUAACCUUUCCUAAGUAUUCGUAUAAGUCCCGGGUUAACACACUUAUAUUGUGUUGGUUCAACAUGAAUACUUGGUUUUCAUUCACCUAUCAUCCUCAAUACAUUUCAUAACCCCUUUUGAACUAAAUUUGAGCCUUUAUCUCUUCUUUCUUAACCUAUUUCGUCCACCCUCGAGUAUUACUCCAAUUCACGAUCGGGCACAUCUACGACUCGACUCUCCUUCCCGAGCUGGGGCGUAUCAUUUGGUAUCAGAGCUAGCUGAAUCGGAGUAAGAAUCGAAGUUAUCGGCAUUUCGAUAUUGUAAAAAAAAAGGAAAAAAUAAUUCGAAAAAAAAAAUUCAAAAAAAAAUUUGUAUUCAAUUUUUUUUUCUUUUCCUUGUCUUCUUUUGUAUUCAGUAUUGGAAAAAAAAAGAGAAAUUAAAAAAAAAAAGAAAAAAAAUGUUUCAGAAGUAAAAAAAAAGGUGAUUGAAAUUCAUUUUGAGUUUGUAAAGGUUUGCUGCCCGAGGUACUCAAAAUUCAUUUCUAGCCACACUUAACCUUUCUAUUUUGUUUGAUAGCCUACCUUUAAUCCCGACAUCAGCCCCACCAAAGCCACAUCAAUUUUGUAAGCCGACCCCAAACGGUAUUGAUUUGUCGACUUAGUUUGCGAAGAACUUUGAGGGGUGAAAAUCGAGUGGAAAAAGGCAAGAGCGAUUGGUGAGACCAUUCGAGAGAAGUAAAAGCCAAAUAGUGUGAAUUUUUUUUUGUGUGAGAGAAGUGUGAGUUUUGUUGUGUGAUUAAAAAAAAAGAUGUCAAGAAGUUUUGAAGGGAUUGAUGAUGAAGAAUAUGACGAUGUUUUGAUCGACCCAACAUAUCAAACGAUUAUUCACGAGGUGGGUCAAAUGCUUCAAAGAAAAUUGGAACCAAUUAAAGAACGACUGAAGAAGUUGGAUGAACGAUUCCAACGGGAGCAAAUUUCUUCAAGUCAAGAGACGAAGAAAAGAUCGUCACGACGACACUACUCGACAAGAGACUCUUAUCAAGACUUCUAUUCAACAAGGCAUUCAAGACCAAGAGAAGCAAACUCCGAGUUUGAGUCCUUCCGAGAUGAUAAACGAAAAAGUAAACGUGUCUCUACAAGUGCCUCAAUUUAUUCAUCUACAAAGGAUUAUUUACGAAGAGGUGCACAUGUUUCAAGAGUGUCAAAGUACUCGGCUACGGAAGAUUUAUUACAAAGAGAUGAUUGUCAUUUGUAUGAACAAUCCUUUUCUUAUUCUCAACAAAAGGUUUCUCAUUUUGAUGAUUUCUACUUUUGUAAUGGAAUUGAAAUAGCAUGUGAAAAAGAAAAAGAGCGCGAGCGAGAAAAUGAAAAUGAAAAAGAAAUGAAAGAAAAAGAAGAUGAAGGUGAGAUAGAAAAGAAAAUUGAAAAUGAGAUUGAGAAUAAAAACGAGUGUGAAAAAGAAAAGAAAACUGAAAAAGAGAGUGAGAUUGAAGGAAGAAAUGAGAGUGCAAAAGAAAUGAGUGAUAUGGUAAAGGAAAGAGGAUUUGAAAAUGAGUUGGAAAAAGAAAUAAGCGAAAAAGAUGAAAGUGAACAAGAAAGGAGUGUUGUUACUAACCAUCCUAUGAAUUUUCCUUGUUUUGUUUCUACUUUUCAGGUUUCUCGAAAUCCCAUCGAUCAAUUUCAACUUCAAUACUUUUCUGAGGAGAGACGACUUCGAUUAGUCGAGAAAGGUAAAAUCAUAGAUGACUCUAUUCCACCAGCGCCUAAAGGUAAGCAUGGUAAGGAUUCUAUGUUAGUCGAACUUCAACAAAUUCAUAUGCAUGAUAAUGUUAAGAUUGCUGAAGAAUUAGUUAGUAGAAGACUUUCCUAUCCUGAUUUGUCUAAGUAUCAAUUUUUGAUUGGUGAUGACUUUGAUUGGGAUGAUGGAUUGAAAAGUUUUCCUCAUGAUAUUUCUGAUGUUUACAAGCUUGAUGAUGAAGCCAGAUUAAAACAACACAAACAAAAUUUGGAAUUGUGUGAUGAAAAGUUGACAUCUAAUCUGUUUGCUUGUGUUGAUCAUGUGAAUUAUCUAAUUUGUGAUUCUGAAAAUUGCUCCAUGUCGUGGUUUAAAAGGUUUGAACAUGUUUUGCAUAAUCAUUACUUAAAAUUACAUCGUUUCCUUUUUAUGAUACCGAUUUUGAAAUUGUCAUAUCAAAUUGGAAUGGCAAGAGGAAACUUUGUUUUUGACCCCGGUGCAUAUCAUUUUAAAUUGUUGUCAAAAGGAUUCGAACUAUGGGAAGUUGACUUCAAAAAUUAUAGCUAUCAAGUGCCUUGUGACCCAGGUUUGUUGCAAUCAAUGAAUUUUUUAAUUCAUUUUGAUAAGGUAAGACCAACUUCUACUUUUGAUCCCGGUAUUGACUCAUAUGUUCACUUGUUGAAUAAGAUCUUUAAAAAUUCUUUGGAGUUUAUGAUUUCUAGUGUCACUAACCUAUCUCUUUCUUGUGUAGGUGACACUUCAGAAUGGUUCCCUCCAAAAGAGGGAGGGCGUGGAAAUAAUUCAAAAUUUUCUCGAACCAUUCGUGAUUUUCAAAGUUUUGGAAAUGAUUCUAUUCGGGUCAUGAACAAAAGGGUUCGAGAUCUUGAAAUUUUUUUUUCGAGCAAGUGGCCCGAUUUGAGGACAAAUCGUCUUCAAGAGGGAGGGUAUGAUGUGAUCCUGAUCGCAUCAUGUAAUGUCACAACCCAAUACCGUCGAGAUUGGCCUAAACACGAGGGCCCCAAGUGCAAGAUGAAGCUAAUUUUUAGCUCAUUUGAAUUUCUUUUCGUGUGGUUCAACUCAUUCGAGCUCAAGUUAGCUCAUUCGUGCUCAAGUCAGCUCAUUCAAGCUCAAUUUAACUCGUUGAGCUCGUUAUUAGCUCUUUAGCUCUUUUAAUUUAAUUUGCCGGAAUAAAUUAAUUAGUUGAGUUAGUUAUUUUAGCUCAAAUAAUUACUAAGUGUUUAAUUAAAAAAUCUGGACAUUUUAAUUAUGUUUGUUUAUUGCAUGUUUAAUUUGUUUUAAUUAUUACCUAGCAUAAAUGUGUUUGCCUUAUUACAAUUAUUUAAUGUGUCUUAUUGCUGAUUUAUUAUGCCUAAGCUGUUAUUUAAUGUUCAGCCAAAUUUAAUUAACUUGUCUAGGAUGCUGAAUUAAAUGUGUCUUAGUUGCCGAAUUUAUUGAUGUUUUUUCAUUAGUUUCAGCCGAAUUUAUGAGCAUAUUUAUUGAUCAAAUUGCUGCCAAUUUAAUUUGUCUUAAGAUGCUGAUUUUUAAUAAGCAGAUAUUAAUGACCGAAUUUAAUUAUUUGGCUGCAGGUUUAAUGGCUUGGAUGGCAAUUUAAGGAAGUGGAUGUUGGCCGAAUUUAAUGUACAGCAAGACAUGCAUUAAAGAUGCUGUUCUACAUGCAAGGAACGGCAUUAAAGGAGUUGUUUGUGCUUUUUCAUGUGGCCAUUUAAUGGACAAAAUUAAAGAAGCUGCUUGCUGAUUUAAUGUGCAGCAAAGACAUGAAUUGAAUGAGAUGUUCCCAUGUAUGGAACGGCAUUUAAAGGGAAGCAAAACAUGAAUUAAAUGAGAUAUUCACCAUGCAUGGACGGCAUUAAUGAAAGCAUGCAAGGGGGGACGUUAUUGAACAGCAUUAAAGCUGGUAUUGCUUCGGGUACAGCAAAGAGCUGUUGUUUGGGGAAUUUCCAAGUGACCAUUCGGCCAAAGCAUGUCUGUUGCUUAAUUAACCAAGGUUGACGUUUCAUACUCCCAAGAAGCAUUUAGGAGCUGUUUUGUGUGCCCAAAACGUCAAUAAAAAUGGUCAAGCUGUUCAACUCACAAGGAGGCUUCAUUAAGGUGCAUUCAACUUCAUUGGCCGAACCAAGACCCCUUAUUCAGCUCACCAAUACUUCCAUUAAUGUCCAGCUGAAUGGAUUACAUCUAGAAGCUGUCCAGUUGACUUCUUCAUGCAUGAAGCUUCCCAAAAAUGUCUUAGGAAGGUUGCUGGAAAUUUCUAGUCUCUUUUGUUUUAAUUUUGGCUGACCAUUCAGCAUCUUGUUAGUCCAUUCGGCUACCUUAGGAAUUUAGCUAUAAAUAGCUUGCUUUGUAUUCGUUUUAAGGUUAGACAAUAUAUUUUUAAAACUUAUAUGAAAUUUGUUUACUUUGUGAGUUUGUUUUCAACUCUCAUUGUUCUCCAAGGACUGGUUAGACUUAUCAAGUAACCCUUGUGGCGUCAACCCGUUUUUGUAUUUCAAACUUAUCACUUUGCACCCAAAGUGUGGCGUUCAAGUUAUACCGAGGUUCCUAUCAUCUUUGAUAGUGGGUCAAGGUUCCAUUUUAUUCGUUUUCCAUCCAUACAACAUUUAACCUUUCCUAAGUAUUCGUAUAAGUCCCGGGUUAACACACUUAUAUUGUGUUGGUUCAACUUGAAUACUUGGUUUUCAUUCACCUAUCAUCCUCAAUACAUUUCAUAACCCCUUUUGAACUAAAUUUGAGCCUUUAUCUCUUCUUUCUUAACCUAUUUCGUCCACCCUCGAGUAUUACUCCAAUUCACGAUCGGGCACAUCUACGACUCGACUCUCCUUCUCGAGCCGGGGCGUAUCAGCUAAGGUGAUGGUAAAUUUAUAAGGGUAGUAGGCUCGAUUUAAGGAUAAAAAUAAGAAAAAUGGAAGUUGAUAAAUGAAGGCUCGGUUUUGUAAAAAGAUAUUAUAGUUGGGUAAAAUCUAGGAUAGUCGGUGGAAUGGAUAAAUGAGCUUAAACACCAGAAACAAUUCAACACUAAAAAGUGUCACCCCGAUUUCUAUUCGGUUCAAGGUGGGAUUAUGGAAUUGUAGAAGGGUUGAACGCCACACAAAAGCAAGGUGAUAAGUUCAAAAGAGAACGAUAGAUGCCACUAGCACGCUAGAUAAGUCAGAUCGAAACUCGUACGAAUUUAGAGAGGAGAAAACUCACUCUUUGAACAAAGUUCAUUCAAAUGAUCAAAAGUCAAAAGUCCUUUUACAAUGAAAAUGAACAACUAUUUAUAGUGUUCAGCUAGGUAGCCGAAUGGCCAAAACAAAGACUUAAUGUCUAAGUAAUUAAUUAGGCUAGAAAAUGCUAGAAAAUUUUGGAAAUAAAAAACUAAAUUGCUGGAACUAAAUUCAGCUGAAUUUGAAGCUCAAGGGACGAUUUCUAGAAGAGCAAAUGCACUUGGAGAAAUGGCAGCAGCUAGGUUCAGCCAAUUGAGCUUAAAUGAGCUCAUUAAAAUGUAAUUCUUGGCUGAAAAGAGACCAGCAUUAAAGGUGAACGUGAACAGCCUUGAAGGUGUGAAAAAGGAGUUGGAAAAGUCUUUGGAAGUGUGAACAAUGAUCAGCCAAAUGGUCCCUGGUGUGAACUCCAAAUGUGAACGCAUAGGUGCUGUUUUGGGAAGUGCAUCGGCCAGCUUUUGGAGAAUGAAUUUAGUUGCUCUUCUUGGCUGAAUAAACACCUUGAAUUAUCAUAAAAUGAGCCAUAUCCACGAAUCCAACCAUUCAUGUAUUCAGCCAUUCAUGUAUACUCCCAUACGUUGUAUUGAACCAUUCAUGCACUUGGACUUUAAUGCUCCUUCAUGCAUUCAGCCAUCCUACAAGAAAAAACAUGAACUAAAUUAAGUGCAAAUGUAUAUUCGGCUGAACUAAAUGGUAUUAAGACAAAUUAAAUAUAAUCCAGCCACCUAAUUAAAUUCGGCUAACACAACAUAAUUAUAACAUGUAAUAAGCUGACAAGUAAUUAAGAGCUGUAACUAAAUUAACUAAUUAACUUAAAUAAUUAAUUUAUUCCAGCAAAUAAAAUUAAUUUAGCUAAAUGGAGCUUGACGAGCUGAAUUCAAGCUGAAAUCAAGGGCAUCCUUGGCCAGGGUCGUAUCAUUCUGCCCUUCUUUAGAACGACUUGUCCUCAAGUCGAGCCAUUGGUUCACUCGAUCAUAGCUCCGCUUACUCAUCUUUCCUCGAUCAAACAGAAUCGAACACAAAUAAAAUAAAACACCAAACUGUUUUGUUACAUCUUCACCAUACAAAGUCUCAUCAAACGAAGGAAUUAUUUUAAAUGAGUAAUCACAAAUCAUCAAGAAUUCAUUUGAGCAAAUAUGUGGCCCAAGUACCAUUUGGGUAGAACAUUCAUAAUCCUUGCAAGAAGGUAUUUUCCAAAUUUCAUACCCACAAUCGAUUGAACAAAGCUUUUUGCAAGUUAUGAUUUUACCACUUAAUCGGCUUAAAUCUUGCAUAGUUAAGCUUAACAGUGGCCAUUGAUCUUUCACCUUUUCAACAAACUUGUCAUCAAGGAGAAUCUUACCAAAAAUUUUCAAGAGACAUGUGGACACAUUCAACUUAAUCCGUUCAUCGAUCAAGCAGAUAAACUCCUCACCACAACUUAUUGAACACAAAUUUUUAUCACAAACAGAUGAAUGCACAGUAAAACCUUGCAAUGGAAAUUGAACGAUUGGUUCUUCCAAAAUUCGGCCCAUCUCGUUCACCAAGUAUUGAAAUUCAUCAGUAGAGAAUUCUUCUUGAGACAUGAUUUAAUUACUAAAAAAAUGAUUAAAACAAAACAAAAAUUAAAUACCUCACCACAAAAAUCUCACGUUUCACUCACAAAGAAAAUUGGAUAGCACACCACUCGUGUUUACGCUCGUUUAAUGGCUUUUGAUCGCUCUAAUGUACUCACCACUCGUGCCUUUUUCCACUCGUCUCACUCUCGUGAAUUCGUAUUUUGUUUCAAGAAGACUUAUUGUGGCUUAGAGGGUUGGCUUCAAAUGGGUUACAAGGGAUAACGUCGGGUGUAGGGUAGGCUAAACAAAGAAAAAAAAAUCAAAGUAUGUGUGGCAUUUUGGGGGGGUAGAAGGAAUGGUAGAAUGAAUGGAUGCUCAGAAGCAAUAAGAAAUAAUAACAAAAUAAAACUCACAAGACUUUUCACUUUUUUUAAUACUUCGAAUUUUUUUUUCAAUUUUUUUUUCGAUUUUUUUUCGAAUUUCCUCUUCUUCUUUUUUUUGAUUUUUUUGUUCAAUUACAAUAUGCUGAAAUACAAAGGGAAGAGAAAAGAGAAAAAAAUUACAACCUGAAUUUUUUUAUUUUUCUUUCAUGUUACGAACCUACUCCGAGCUUGAUACGAAUUGAUGUGAGCUUGCCUACGAACCAAAUGGAGAACGAACAAGAAGCCAUUAAGCUGCCCAUUGGUCCAAUAACGCGAGCUAGAGCUAAACGAUUCAAAGAUGCUAUUUUAGCAAUGGUGGAACGGGUUGAGGAAAAUGAUAGCAAGGAGUUUAAAAACGAGCUGAACAUAUUCAACUUCUUUGAAGCUGAAUUUCAUUCUAGCUAAUUAAUUUGAUGACUGGAAUUUAGACCAUUUAAAUAAACAUUUAAAUAAGUUUCAUUACAGCUUUUAAAUAUGUCUUAAUUAAUUUAAGUGUUUAAUAUGUCUUGAUUUAGUUAAAUUAAAGAUGUCUUGAUGUCAUUUAGUUUGUCUAAAUUAUUACAUGUUUUAAAUUUGUCUAGCCGAAUUUAUGUGUUAUGAUUUGUUAAUAUUUAAGUUGUCUCAAUGUUAUUUAGGAUGUUCACAUUAUAUUUUAAUUUAGUUAAGAUGAAUUUGCUUGAAAUUAAUUAAGUUCAUGUUUAUUUUUAGGUGCAGCCGAAUUUGGAGAUGAAUUGGACAGAUUCAUGCAUGGAGAUUCAAUGAAUUUGAAGAUGCAUGUGCAGCUGAACUAAUGCAUUAAAAGCUGAAUAAUUUUGGUGUUCUUCAAGGCAACUAUUCGGCCAAGAGUGAUCAAGUUUUUCAUCCUUUCAAGCUUGGCCGAUUCUCUUCCCAAGGGCGUAUAAAAGCUGUUCACACUAUGUCUAUUCAGUUCAGCCAUGUUCACACUUCAAAGCUCUUCCUUGGUCUCUAUUCAGCCGAACCUUGAUGCAAGCAUAUACAUGAAUUUAAGCUGAAUUUUUGUUCAAUUUUUUCUUAGAAAUUAAGUCUAGAAUAUGUCCAUUCAGCUACUAGACAUUAGACUAUAAAUAGUUGCUCAAUUUCUUGUAAAAGGACUUUUGACAAAUUUCUGAAUGAAAUAUCAUUUUUAGUGAGGCAAUUCACUAUCUUUAUUCUCCAAAGCUCUAAUUGACUUAUCUUCAACAAGUGGCAUCAAUCUGACUUUGUUUCAAACUUAUCACCAUUGGUGUGGCGUUCUUCAUACCGUAGGUUCCUAUUUUGCUAAAUAGAGGGUCUCAGUUUUAUCCCAAAUCCUUUCUUUCUUUGAAACCUUAAGCCCUGGGUCCUUAUUUGCUAAUAAGGGUUCGACUUGUUUUCAUUGAAAUAUCCAGCAAACAACACUCCAUCAAACUCCCUUGUUUCCCAAAUCCAUUUAAUUUUAAACACCAAGACUUGAAUUUAUUUCAAGGCUGACACUACCUAAUUUCGAUCGGGAAAUAUUACGACUCGUUAUUUCAUACGAAACGAGCUCGUAUCACGAAUGUCGGCACUCCUAGUUUUAGUAGCUCUGAUACCAGAUGAUGUGAUCCGGCCCAGGUUAAUUGAGUCGUGAUACGAGUCAUAAAGGCCCAAUCCAAGUUCAAGAACGUGCUGGGCUCAAAUUGCCACAAGGCCCAAUAACAAGAUCAAAGGCCCGACAAAUGCGGUCCAAACUAAAUGGGACCAUUCAAGAGCUUGUUAGCAAGGCCUUAGAUGCAUACACGAGAGAACAAGAAAAUCAAGAUUCACUUUCUUGUUUUCAAGAAAAUUAAGAAACCGAAUCUUGGCCCAAUUCUGCUGUUCAAAGAGAUUUCAAGAAUCAAGAAAAUCAAGAUUUCAAAUCUUGGAAAUCUUGGUCCAAGAAACCAAAUCUUGCAGCCAAAACGCAUUGGAUCUCCAUUACAAGCGUCAACGACCCAAUUUUGGUAGGAGAUGGAUCACGAGCCCAAAUUCUUGAAGGCGAGGCCCAAUAACCAAAAUCCAGCCCAAUCAAGAAAUUUUUUCAUACUUAGUUGAAAAUCAGGCCAAAAUGUCAAAGGGCCCAAUUCGUAAACAUCCUACUUGUUUAAUUUAAUUUUUUAAUCUUUAGGAGCAUUACAUGUAAAAUUUGGCCCAAAACAGCCCAUAUAAGUGCAUGGCCAAAUUUACCUUGUUAUUUUAUUAAUUAGGUUUAAUUUUUAUUAGUUACUUGUGAGAUUAGGAUUUGUUGGAGGCCUAUAUAAGCAUUGGCCAGCCACCCUUUGUAAACACAUCUUAUUAUUAUUUUUUCUAUCAAAUUUCAGAUUUGUUGAGUGCAGAAUUUUCUUUGGGGUUUUCUCCAAGAAUUCUCUCUUGAGUUUUCUUUAGAAGUUGUUUUAACAAUCUUUUGAUUGUGGGAGCCAUCUUCAACCUUCUUCUUGCCAUCGAUAUUCUUUGGAGGGGAGAUUAGAGCCGUUUGAAGGAAUUUGUGAAUUCUUUCGGGAAUUCAAGGGUUCUUAGGACUUUUCUUUAUUUCUUGUUGUUUCGAUUUGUUUCUUUAUUCCUACUUGUGCCGAUUCAUCAUCUAAUAUUUUGCUGUUCUUGUUUGUGUUUCAGCCUUGAUUCAAACUCCAAGAACUCUUCAUUUAAUCGGUUCUUUUAUUGGCCACAUAUAAUCGACUCAAAAUUCCCCAAAAUUUAGGGUUCUUGCCAUUUUCUAUUUCUUCUUGUUGGGUGAAAUUCGGCUGCUGAAAUUUGGGCAAUUCAUAUUGGGUGUUCAAUUGGACCGAAUCGCAACUUAAAUUCACUUCUUGAACUGUUCAAUUUCACCUAUUUCUUUCUUUUCUUUUUUUUUGCCGCCCAAAUCCCUAAUUUUCCAAUUAAAAAUCUGAUUGUUUCAAUCUACUUACUGUUUUGGUGUUCUUGGCAGAUUCGGCUUGUGGGAGUUCAUUCUUGGGAAUCAAUUUCGUGUUCUUGGUUUCAAGAAACCUCAUUCAUAAGUGUUUCGUUCCUUGAUUAGAUUUUGCUGAUUUUUAGGGUUCUUAUUCCAGAUGUUAAUUUUUCCAGAUUUAAUCUCGUUCUUUGUUUGAUUUCAGCUCUGUUCGUUUAGAGCUUUCGUAGGAGUUUCUCGUGACUUGGCAAUUCGAUCUUGGUCCGCGCGCAUUCCUCUAUCAUUUGGUAUCAGAUUUUGGGCGUUUUGGGUGUUCUUGGUUGAUUUCUAAACUGAUCUCUAUUUUUUAAAUCAUAAACAGCAGUUUUACCCAGAAAAAUUGUUCAAAAUAAAUUCAUUUGAGAGGGUAAACGUUGUCCGAUUGAUCUGAAAUUUUACAUACAUGUUUUUGGCACUGUGAUUGAAUAUAAAAAAAUUAUUCCCGCAAAAAAAUCAAUCAAAAAAGUCAAAAAAAAUCAAAAAAUACGAAAUUCAAUAAAAAUUUUAAAAAAGAUUCAGCGGGUUGAAUUUGGUGCCCAAAAUUUCCAGAUCAAAAAUUCAAUAUAUAAGGACACUCCAGAUUUAAUUUCGUGAUUUUUGGAGAUCAGGAACACCUCGAACGAAGUUGUCAAGUUACUCCGCAGUUUUUCAGGUUUUCUAUUUUCAGCAAUUUUUAUUGAUUCUUAGCUGUAGGUUUUCAUUUGUUUACCUUUAUUCUUCCUUUACGUCAUCUAACACCUUCUUGUUUCUUGUGUUAGUAGGAUUUAAACGUGUGCACAACUUCUUCCUCGGUGCAACACGAAUCAAUUGGUGUCUCGUUAGUUUUUGGCAUCCUAGUGCAAAUUAGGAUUCUUUGGUAGUUUGGUUCACACUCUCUAAUUGGUUGAUAUAAACUCUGAUAAAGAACUCACAAGAUUGAAUUCGACCUCAUUGAGAAUUUGAUUUUUUCUUUUUGAGUGAUUAACGGUGAGGUUUGAUAACUUUUAUUUUUGAGUGUUGAGUGUUUAUUUUUGCAGUUUUUUUGGAAGAUGUCUAAAGAUGACCAUAAUGAUACACUUAUGGAAGUUCAACAACAGUUAGAAGGACACGCUGCUGCAAUCACACAAAUAAAUGCUACCUUUCAAGCAUUGAAUACUACUUUGAAUGAGGUACGAAUGAAUCAAGAACUUCAAUAUCGAGAUCCAAUCAGGGAAGAUAGGAAUAACCAGCCCCAUAGGCGCGGCCCUCGACGUGUCCCUAGAAUGGAUGAUGAUUUUCAUGAUCGUGGACAACCUUCUUUGGCAAAACUGAAAUUCACAAUUCCCCAAUUUUGUGGUAAGAAUGAUCCUGACGCUUAUUGUGAAUGGGAAUCUAAGAUUGAACUCAUGUUUCGGUAUUAUAAAUGUCUGGAUGAUGAAAAGGUAGCGUUAGCAACACUGGAAUUUUCUGAUUAUGCAUUAAGUUGGUGGACUCAACUUGGGGUAAACCGCCAUCGGAAUUAUGAAGGUGAGAUUUCGACAUGGGAUGAGUUGAAACAGAUUAUGCGUAAAAGGUUUAUUCCACCUCACUACUAUAGAGAAAUUAAAACAAAGUUGAGAAGACUUAUCCAAGGUAGUAGGACAGUGGAUGAAUAUUUUAAAGAGAUGGAGAUGCUCAUUCAGAGAGCUAAUGUGGAGGAAGAUGAAGAAACAAUUAUGGUUCGAUUCAUUGAUGGUUUGAACAGGCCGAUAGCUAAUACAUUGACGCUACAAACUUACAUUGAUUUGGAAGAAGCAGUUCACAAAGCCAUUGAGAUCGAGCAACAAUUAAAGGAACAAAGGUUUGGGUCCUUCUCUACUUCACAAUAUUAUCGAGGUAACAAUUCCAAUUCUGAUUUUAAGAGUUCAAAACCACCUUUUGUUACUAACAAGUCUUCUUUGAGUAAUGGAAGUAAACAAUUAGAUUGGAAAAAAGGGGCUCCUGCAAAAACGCAAACACCUUCUAAGCAGCCCAAUUUAGGUGAUUCGAGUGCGAAGAGGACUCGUGAGAUUGAAUGCUUUAAGUGCAAAGGGCGUGGUCAUUAUAGUAGAGAAUGCCCUAACACGAGAUUACUUCUUCUAAAAGAUAACGGUGAGUACACUCCCGACUCUGAUAAUACAGAUCCAAAUAUGCCAGAACUUGUGGAUGACAGUGAUAAUGGCGACGAGUUGGUCGAACCACCAAAGGAAGGGGACUUUGCUAAUUUUCAAUGCCUUGUAGUUCGUCGAACUCUUAACAUUCAGAUGAAAGAUGAUGAUAGCCAAAGGGCCAAUAUUUUCCAUUCUCGGUGUUUUAUUAAAGGUAACUUAUGUUCACUCAUUAUUGAUAGUGGUAGUUGCUCGAAUGUAGUGAGUAGUUAUUUGGUGGAUUCUUUAAAGUUGCCUUGUACCAAACACCCUAAGCCAUAUCACCUUCAGUGGCUUAAUGAAUGUUCCGAAGUUAAAGUUACGAAACAGUCAUUGGUCACUAUGAAACUCGGCAAUUAUGAGGAUGACGUAUGGUGUGAUGUAGUCCCCAUGCAUGCGGCACACUUGCUCCUUGGACGACCUUGGCAAUUUGAUCGCGAUGUUACACACCAAGGUAAACUUAAUCGAUACUCCCUUAUAUUUAAAGGCAAGAAAUUCACUUUUGCUCCUUUAAAUCCUACUGAUGUAUAUAAAGAUCAAUUGAGGAUGAUAAAAUUUUGUGAGGGGGUAAGGGAGAAAGAGCAAGUACAAAAGACAGAGAGAAAAGAGGCUAAUAGUAGUGGAAAAAGUCAAAAUUUAAAAAGCCCAAAGGUGAGUGAAUCCUCUAGUGGUAAAAUGAGCGGAAAAAAUCUUUUGGCAACAAAAAAAGAUGUAAAGAGAGCCCUACUUAAUAAACAGCCUUGUAUCCUUGUGAGGUUUAGGCAAAAUUAUUUAUCUUUAUCUAACAUUAACGAAAAUUUGCCUAGUGUGUUUCAAUCUCUUUUGCAGGAUUAUGAGGAUGUUUUUAGUGAGGCCCCUAAAGGUUUACCACCUUUACGAGGGAUAGAACAUCAAAUUGACUUAGUACCCGGAGCUUCAAUCCCAAAUCGACCAGCCUAUAGAUGCAAUCCCGAGGAGACAAAGGAAUUGCAAAGGCAAGUGGAGGAAUUACUAGACAAAGGGUACAUUCGUGAGAGCCUAAGUCCUUGUGUUGUUCCUGUCUUAUUGGUGCUAAAGAAAGAUGGUACGUUUCGUAUGUGUGUUGAUUGUCGCCCAAUCAACAAGAUAACGGUAAAGUAUCGACACCCAAUCCCUAUACUUGAUGAUAUGCUUGAUGAAUUACAUGGUUCAAUAAUAUUUACAAAAAUUGAUUUAAAAAGCGGUUAUCAUCAAAUUCGAAUGAGGGAAGGGGAUGAAUGGAAAAAGCUUUUAAAACAAAAUUUGGAUUGUAUGAAUGGUUAGUUAUGCCUUUCGGCCUUACUAAUGCACCUAGUACAUUUAUGAGAUUAAUGAAUCAUGUUUUGAGGCUACAUUUGGGUAAAUUUGUAGUAGUUUACUUUGAUGAUAUUUUAAUUUACUCAAAGUCAUUAGAUGAUCAUGUUUUCCAUGUUCGAACCGUUUUGGAUAUUCUACGAACUGAAAGAUUAUUUGCCAACCUUGAUAAAUGCACAUUCUGUUGUGAUAAACUAAUAUUCUUAGGUUUCAUAGUUAGUGCUCAAGGUAUUCAUGUCGACGAGGACAAAGUUAAGGCAAUUAAGGAGUGGCCGACUCCUAAAUCGGUAACUGAGGUGAGAUCUUUCCAUGGUUUAGCUAGUUUUUAUAGACGAUUUGUGAAAGAUCUCUCUACUAUUGCUGCCCCAUUGACUGAAGUUAUAAAGAAAUCAGUGGGUUUCAAAUGGGGUGAAACCCAAGAAAAAGCUUUUCAAACUCUAAAAGCUAAGUUAUGUUCUGCUCCUUUGCUUAAAUUACCUGAUUUUGCUAACACUUUUGAACUUGAGUGUGAUGCUUCAGGAAUUGGAAUCGGCGCCGUUUUAAUGCAAGAUAAGCAACCUAUUGCUUAUUUUAGUGAGAAAUUGAACGGUGCACAGUUAAAUUACUCGACUUAUGACAAAGAACUAUUGGCAUUAGUUCGUGCACUUCAAGUAUGGCAACAUUAUUUGCUGCCUAAUGAGUUUAUCAUACAUACAGAUCAUGAGUCUCUUAAAUGGUUAAAGGGACAAGGUAAGUUGAGUAAAAGACAUGCCCGAUGGGUAGAAUUCAUUGAAACAUUCCCUUAUGUGAUUCAAUAUAAAACAGGUAAAGAUAAUGUAGUCGCAGAUGCUUUGUCUAGACGAUAUACUUUAAUAACUACAUUGAAUGCUAAAGUCUUAGGGUUUGAGCAUAUUAAAGAGUUAUAUGAUGAUGAUACUAAUUUCAGCCAUAUCUAUAAGAAUUGUGGACAUACUGCUUUUGAAAAAUUUUAUCUUGUAGAUGGCUUUCUUUUUCGUUUAAACAGGUUAUGCAUACCAAAGUGUUCCAUGAGAGAAUUGUUGAUUCAUGAAGCCCAUAGUGGGGGACUAAUGGGACAUUUUGGAGUGGCCAAAACACUAGACAUAUUGCAAGAACACUUCCAUUGGCCACAUAUGAAGAAGGAUGUGGAAAAGGUGAUACAAGCUCGUUUCGUAUGAAAUAACGAGUCGUAAUAUUUCCCGAUCAAAAUUAGGUAGUGUCGGCCUUGAAAUAAAUUCAAGUCUUGGUGUUUAAAAUUAAAUGGCUUUGGAAAACGAGGGAGUUUGAUGGAGUGUUGUUUGCUGGAUAUUUCAAUGAAAACAAGUCGAACCCUUAUUAGCAAAUAAGGACCCGGGGCUUAAGGUUUCAAAGAAAGAAAGGAUUUUGGGAUAAAACCGAGACCCUCUAUUUAGCAAAAUAGGAACCUACGGUAUGAAGAACGCCACACCAAUGGUGAUAAGUUCGAAACAAAGUCAGAUUGACGCCACUUGUUGAAGAUAAGUCAAUUUGAGCUUUGGAGAAUAAAGAGAGUGAAUUGCCUCACUAAAAUGAUAUUUCAUUCAGAAAUUUGUCAAAAGUCCUUUUACAAGAAAAUGAGUAACUAUUUAUAGCCUAAUGCCUAAUAGCCGAAUGGACAUAUUCUAGACUUAGUUUCUAAGCAAACAUUGAACAAAAAUGGCCAAUGUAGGUUCGGCUGAAUGGUGAUCAUACAUGAAGCUUCCAUAUUAAGCAAAUGAAUCUUGGGAAUGCAUGUAGCAGCUACAUUCAGCUGAUGAGCUUAAUUGAUCAUUCAAUAGGCAACUCUUGCUGAAAAAUUAUCAAUAAUAAAGAGGGCACUUGAACAGCCACAUUAGGUGUGAAUGGACGGUUUUGAAGAGCCUUAAAAUGUGAACACCAAGAACCGAAUGGCCAAAAUGUAUCCAGCAAUGUGAAGGAAAUAAUGGCAGCUUGAAAAACUAUCUCUUUAGCUGAAUGGUCACUUAGAGAACUUCAAUAAUCAGCACACCAUUUUUAAUGUAGUUCAUGCAUGCAUCUUGCACACCACAUUCGGCCAACCUUUCCCAUGCAUCUUCCACAUUCGGCUGAACCUAAAUAAAACAAAUGAACCUCAUUAAUUUAACUCAAUUCAACUGAACAUAAUAUGAACAUACUAAUUAACAUUAAGCCGAAUUAAAUAUGUACUAAACAAGACACAUUAAUUCGGCUGAACAUAGUUAAUUCAUGUAAUAUAUUCAAACAAAUUAAAUGACAUCUAGACACCUUUAAUUCAACCAAAUCAACAUAUUAAACACUUGUAAUAAAUUAAGACAUAUUUAAAAGCUGUAAUGAAACUUAUUUAAAUGCUUAUUUAAAUGGUCUAAAACAAAUGAUGCCAACACCAACAAAGCAAACAAGGGGCGCAAACGGGUUGUACUAGAACCCAGAGAUUGGGUUUGGGUCCAUUUGAGGAAAGAACGGUUUCCUACAAAAAGGAAGACUAAGUUGGACCCAAGGGGCAAUGGGCCUUUCCAAGUACUCGAGCGGAUCAACGAUAAUGCCUAUAAAAUUGAUCUACCUGGUGAGUACAAUGUAAGUUCUACUUUUAAUGUAGCUGACUUGUCCCCAUUUGAUUUUUCAGAUUCGAGGAAAAUCUUUUUGAGGAAGGGGGAAUGAUACGAGUCAUAAAGGCCCAAUCCAAGUUCAAGAACGUGCUAGGCUCAAAUUGCCACAAGGCCCAAUAACAAGAUCAAAGGCCCGACAAAUGCGGUCCAAACUAAAUGGGACCAUUCAAGAGCUUGUUAGCAAGGCCUUAGAUGCAUACACGAGAGAACAAGAAAAUCAAGAUUCACUUUUUUGUUUUUAAGAAAAUCAAGAAACCGAAUCUUGGCCCAAUUUUGCUGUUCGAAGAGAUUUCAAGAAUCAAGAAAAUCAAGAUUUCAAAUCUUGGAAAUCUUGGUCCAAGAAACCAAAUCUUGCAGCCAAAAUGCAUUGGAUCUCCAUUACGAGCGUCAACGACCCAAUUUUGGUAGGAGAUGGAUCACGAGCCCAAAUUCUUGAAGGCGAGGCCCAAUAACCAAAAUCCAGCCCAAUCAAGAAAUUUUUUCAUACUUAGUUGAAAAUCAGGCCAAAAUGUCAAAGGGCCCAAUUCGUAAACAUCCUACUUGUUUAAUUUAAUUUUUUAAUCUUUAGGAGCAUUACAUGUAAAAUUCGGCCCAAAACAGCCCAUAUAAGUGCAUGGCCGAAUUUACCUUGUUAUUUUAUUAAUUAGGUUUAAUUUUUAUUAGUUACUUGUGAGAUUAGGAUUUGUUGGAGGCCUAUAUAAGCAUUGGCCAGCCACCCUUUGUAAACACAUCUUAUUAUUAUUUUUUCUAUCAAAUUUCAGAUUUGUUGAGUGCAGAAUUUUCUUUGGGGUUUUCUCCAAGAAUUCUCUCUUGAGUUUUCUUUAGAAGUUGUUUUAACAAUCUUUUGAUUGUGGGAGCCAUCUUCAACCUUCUUCUUGCCAUCGAUAUUCUUUGGAGGGGAGAUUAGAGCCGUUUGAAGGAAUUUGUGAAUUCUUUCAGGAAUUCAAGGGUUCUUAGGACUUUUCUUUAUUUCUUGUUGUUUCGAUUUGUUUCUUUAUUCCUACUUGUGCCGAUUCAUCAUCUAAUAUUUUGCUGUUCUUGUUUGUGUUUCACCCUUGAUUCAAACUCCAAGAACUCUUCAUUUAAUCGGUUCUUUUAUUGGCCACAUAUAAUCGACUCAAAAUUCCCCAAAAUUUAGGGUUCUUGCCGUUUUCUAUUUCUUCUUGUUGGGUGGAAUUCGGCUGCUGAAAUUUGGGCAAUUCAUAUUGGGUGUUCAAUUGGACCGAAUCGCAACUUAAAUUCACUUCUUGAACUGUUCAAUUUCACCUAUUUCUUUCUUUUCUUUUUUUUUUGCCGCCCAAAUCCCUAAUCUUCCAAUUAAAAAUCUGAUUGUUUCAAUCUACUUACUGUUUUGGUGUUCUUGGCAGAUUCGGCUUGUGGGAGUUCAUUCUUGGGAAUCAAUUUCGUGUUCUUGGUUUCAAGAAACCUCUUUCAUAAGUGUUUCGUUCCUUGAUUAGAUUUUGCUGAUUUUUAGGGUUCUUAUUCCAGAUGUUAAUUUUUCCAGAUUUAAUCUCGUUCUUUGUUUGAUUUCAGAUCUGUUCGUUUAGAGCUUUCGUAGGAGUUUCUCGUGACUUGGCAAUUCGAUCUUGGUCCGUGCGCAUUCCUCUAUCAAGUCGUUUCACGUAAUUGCUCGAUCGUCGACGAGGAAUAGUUGAGUUAUCAGAAAUAGGAUGAAAUAAGGCUAAAGAUGCGGAAGCUUUCAAAUGGUUUUAAAGGUUGGCUAAGGUGAUGGUAAAUUUAUAAGGGUAGUAGGCUCGAUUUAAGGAUAAAAAUAAGAAAAAUGGAAGUUGAUAAAUGAAGGCUCAGUUUUGUAAAAAGAUAUUAUAGUUGGGUAAAAUCUAGGAUAGUCGGUGGAAUGGAUAAAUGAGCUUAAACACCAGAAACGAUUCAACACUAAAAAGUGUCACCCCGAUUUCUAUUUGGUUCAAGUGGGAUUACGGAAUUGUAGAAGGGUUGAACGCCACACCAAAGCAAGGUGAUAAGUUCAAAAGAGAACGAUAGACGCCACUAGCACGCUAGAUAAGUCAGAUCGAAACUCGUACGAAUUUAGAGAGGAGAAAACUCACUCUUUGAACAAAGUUCAUUCAAAUGAUCAAAAGUCAAAAGUCCUUUUACAAUAAAAAUGAACAACUAUUUAUAGUGUUCAGCUAGGUAGCCGAAUGGCCAAAACAAAGACUUAAUGUCUAAGUAAUUAAUUAGGCUAGAAAAUGCUAGAAAAUUUUAGAAAUAAAAAACUAAAUUGCUGGAGCUAAAUUCAGAUGAAUUUGAAGCUCAAGGGACGAUUUCUAGAAGAGCAAAUGCACUUGGAGAAAUGGCAGCAGCUAGGUUCAGCCAAUUGAGCUUAAAUGAGCUCAUUAAAAUGUAAUUCUUGGCUGAAAAGAGACCAGCAUUAAAGGUGAACGUGAACAGCCUUGAAGGUGUGAAAAAGGAGUUGGAAAAGUCUUUGGAAGUGUGAACAAUGAUCAGCCAAAUGGUCCUUGGUGUGAACUCCAAAUGUGAACGCAUAGGUGCUGUUUUGGGAAGUGCAUCGGCCAGCUUUUGGAGAAUGAAUUUAGUUGCUCUUCUUGGCUGAAUAAACACCUUGAAUUAUCAUAAAAUGAGCCAUAUCCAUGAAUCCAACCAUUCAUGUAUUCAGCCAUUCAUGUAUACUCCCAUACGUUGUAUUGAACCAUUCAUGCACUUGGACUUUAAUGCUCCUUCAUGCAUUCAGCCAUCCUACAAGAAAAAACAUGAACUAAAUUAAGUGCAAAUGUAUAUUCGGCUGAACUAAAUGGUAUUAAGACAAAUUAAAUAUAAUCCAGCCACCUAAUUAAAUUCGGCUAACACAACAUAAUUAUAACAUGUAAUAAGCUGACAAGUAAUUAAGAGCUGUAACUAAAUUAACUAAUUAACUUAAAUAAUUAAUUUAUUCCAGCAAAUAAAAUUAAUUUAGCUAAAUAGAGCUUGAGGAGCUGAAUUCAAGCUGAAAUCAAGGGCAUCCUUGGCCAGGGUCGUAUCAUCUUCCCAAGCUCGUUCCACAUAGCUUGCUAUUGCAUUUCAAAAUCUCUUAGCUGUGAUCGAGUUAUUGGUCCUCGUGGCAGCUCAAUGGAUUCGGUAGUAAUUUCCCGGGCUAAGGUUGCAUCAGAGGUGGACCAAGAGAAGAUUAAAGCAAUACAAGAAUGGCCACGACCGAAUAACAUCAGCCAAGUUAGAAGUUUUCAUGGCCUUGCAAGCUUCUAUAGGAGGUUUGUACCGAAUUUUAGCACUCUUGCUGCCCCAUUAACCGGUAUUAUAAAAAAAAUUACCUUUUAUUUGGUCUGAUGAACAAGAAUCUGCUUUUGUUAAAAUCAAAGAUUGCUUGACUAAUGCUCCACUUUUAUGUUUGCUGAAUUUUAACAAAAUUUUCGAGGUAGAAUGUGAUGCUUCUGGAAUAGGAAUAGGUGCGGUUUUAACGCAAGAUGGGCGACCGGUGGCUUAUUUUAGCGAGAAACUUAAUGGAGCUACGCUCAAUUAUCCCACCUAUGACAAACAAAUGUACGCAUUGAUACGUGCAUUAGAAACAUGGCAGCAUUACCUUUGGCCUAAGGAGUUCGUUAUACACACGAACCAUGAGGCUUUGAAGCAUUUGAGAGGGCAAACUAAGCUUAACAAACGACAUGCAAAAUGGGUAGAAUUCUUAGAAUCCUUUCCAUAUGUGAUUAAGUAUAAGCAAGGUAAGGAAAAUAUCGUUGCAGAUGCUUUAUCACGAAGGUAUGCUCUUUUAAAUUAUUUGGAUGUUAAGUUACUUGGUUUUGCUUAUUUAAAGGAAUUAUAUGCUAAUGAUUCUGAUUUUGGAGAAGUUUACAAGUUAUGUGUGCAAGGUGCGUAUGACAGGUACUAUCAGCAAGAUGGAUUCCUAUUUCGAGAGAAUAAGUUGUGCAUACCCCAAGGAUCAACUAGAAAUUUGCUGGUUCAUGAAGCACAUAGUGGGGGUUUAAUGGGACAUUUUGGUAUUGGCAAAACUUUGGCCGUUCUUCAAGAACACUUUUAUUGGCCAAAGAUGAAACGAGAUGUGGCUAAAGUGUGCAAUCGCUGUAUUGUUUGCAAGAAGGCAAAAUCAAGGGUCCAGCCACAUGGACUCUAUACUCCAUUAUCGAUCCCAGAAAUGCCAUGGAUGGAUAUUUCUAUGGACUUUGUUUUGGGUCUUCCUAGAACAAAGAAUGGCAAAGAUUCUGUGUUUGUUGUAGUUGAUCGGUUUUCAAAAAUGGCUCAUUUCAUUGCAUGUAACAAAACUGAUGAUGCUUUAAAUGUUGCCAAUCUAUUUUUUAGGGAGAUUGUACGAUUGCAUAGAAUUCCAAGAACCAUUGUUUCAGAUCGAGACACUAAAUUUCUCAGCCACUUUUGGAGGACUUUAUGGGGAAAGAUUGGAACUAAGCUAUUAUUUUCCACAACAAGUCAUCCCCAAACUGAUGGCCAAACAGAGGUUGUUAAUAGAGUUCUGUCAACACUACUGCGGGCCAUUAUACGUAAGAAUUUAAAAACUUGGGAGGAGUGUCUACCUCACAUUGAAUUUGCAUACAAUCGAUCGGUACAUUCAGCUACCAAGUUUUCACCAUUUGAGGUAGUGUACGGAUUUAAUCCCUUAACUCCAUUGGAUUUAUUGCCUUUACCUUUUUGAUAAAUUGGUGCAUGUAGAUGGAAAGAAAAAGGCAGAUUUUGUGAAACAAUUACAUCAGCGAGUUAGGGAUAAUAUUGAACGAAGAACGGAGCAAUAUGCACAUCAAGUUAACAAGGGCCGUAAACGAGUAAUAUUUGAACCUGGUGAUUGGGUUUGGAUUCACAUGCGCAAGGAGAGAUUUCCCGUGCAAAGACGAUCCAAACUAUUACCACGAGGAGAUGGACCUUUUCAAGUCUUGGAGAGAAUUAAUGAUAACGCUUAUAAGUUAGAUUUACCUGGUGAGUAUAGGGUUAGUGCUACUUUUAAUGUUGCUGAUUUAUCUCUUUUCGAUGUAGGUGACGAUUUGGGAGCAAAUCGCCUCGAAAAGGGGGGAAUGAUGCAACCUUAGCCCGGGAAAUUACUACCGAAUCCAUUGAGCUGCCACGAUGACCAAUAACUCGAUCACGAGCUAAGAGAUUUCAAAAUGAAAUAGCAAGCUAUGUGGAACGAGCUUGGGAAGAGGGAGUGGCCGAAUUUGAUAGUCGUGCUUCAAACCGUUCAAAAGGCGUUACUUGCAAUUUAUUGCAAGCUGAAUUUGUUUCUUUUAAUUAACUUGUUUUAGUUUAAUAAAUAAGUUGCUGAUCAAUUAAUUUAACUUAUCUUAAAGUUUUAAUACAUGAGUUAGUUAUUGAACUUUAUUAAAUAAGAUGCUUCUUAAUUGAUCUAGUUCCUAGGAUUAUUUAUUGAUUCAUAAAUUAAGUUCUUUAAAUUAUGCUUCUUUAAUUAAACUAGUUGCUGGAAUAAUUAUUGCAUAUAUUUUUUAGUUCAUUUAUUUAAGUAAGUUUAAUAUGUGUUAUGAUUAAUAAGUGUUUUAAUGUGCUUAAUAAACUCAUUUUAAUGUGUUUAUUGCAGGUGACUUUUUAGCUUAUAGUGGUUACAAUUCAAGGCUGUUACACAUUUAAUAAGUGGCUGUUCAAGUUCUUUUGAGUUACAAUUAAAGGGGCUGUUAAAAAAAGGAGCUUAAAGAUCAUUAAAAGGAGUUUUUAAAGAGCAUUUUAUGCCCUUUAAAAUUCAGCAGCAACUCUUCCACUUCCAGCCGUUUUUGGAGCUUUCAAGAGAAAUUAAUCAAACCUUUGAAUGUCAUUCAGUAGCAGGUUAAAAGAUGGUGUCUAUUCAGCUAGCCAAGGACAACUCAAGAGACAUUUUUAAGACAUUAAAGACAUUCAAAUCAGCUGAAUUGAAAUGAUUUUAUGGAAGGAGUUAUUUGGUUCAAAGCAUAAGAAAAGACAUCAGUUUUUAUGGCACAUUAAGUGGAUGUUUUUUUUGACCAUUCGGUUACCUUGUUCUAGCAUUAUAAAUAGUUGUAAUCAGCCUUGGAGAGGGGACUUUUGCUGAAUAUAGAUGUUAUAUUUGAAUUGUGAGCUAUCCAAUUCUCUUUGUUCUUACGGAAUUGAUUUGACUUAUCAAGCAUAGCUUGUGGCGUCCAUCUUUUCUUUGUUUACCGAACUUAUCACCUUUGGUGUGGCAUUCAAUAUACCUUUGGUUCCUAUCAUAGUUGAUAGUGGGUCAAGGUUUCUUGCUGUUUCUUUAAACCGUUAAACACCUAAGCACCAUUUUGAGAUUCGGGUCAACAAUUCCCUUAUUUGUUGGUUCAUUCUCGGUCUUAUCCAAUUAAUUUGUUAUUGUUUCCUAUCUAUUUUGUUUAUUACCUUUGUUUGAAGCCAUUAUUUCUAUUUUGUUUCCUUUAAACCGAAACGAUUCUAUUCUACUCAAUUCACGAUCGGGGAUCACUAACGACUCGAAUCAAUCACAAAACGAGUUCGUAUCAAUCUUAGUGAAAUUUCACGCUAUUUAAAAAAAUUUAUAUAUACGCCACAUCUUUAAACCUUUCUUUUUCUUUCGAGCCUACCAAAACCAUAUCAUAUUCCUUUGUUUAGGCCCUUGAAGCUGACCCACAAGUGGGAUAAGUCUAAGGUAGCUUUUUAGAAUAUCGAGAGUCGGAUUUGAGAGGUAAAAGGAAAGAGAGUACAUCAAGAUAAAAGCCAAAAAUAGAGUGAAACAUGAGAGGAGUGAAUUCUUUUCUUGUGAGUGAAUUGUGAGGUUUUUUGUGGUGAGGAUAUUUUCUUAAUUUUAAUCAUCAUGUCAAGGAGCCCGGAACGACGAGCAACAAGUGGAGGAGCCUCGAAUGCCGCUGGUGGAGGAGUUAAUCUUCAACCAAGGAGAAACGUUUCCGGAGGUGGAGUGCCCGAUCUACAAGUUCAAGCAAUCGUGCGAGAAAUUUCUCAUUUGUUCCAACCUCAAUUCGAUUCCCUUCAUGAACGAAUGGAACAAAUGGAGGAAUGAAGCCAACGUGCGAACACCCCUCCUGUUCCGAGAAGAGAGCGAGAACGUCCAUGGCAACAUGCAAAUGAUCUAUAUGAAGCAAGUGACGUUGAAAGUGAUCGAGCUUCGCGACAAAGUGCAAGGCGACAAGGCCAACGAGCACGGAGACCAAGAGAUCGAGAGAGGACCGAUGAUGAUUUAAAAAACAUUAAAAUGGCGAUUCCUGCUUUUCAAGGAAGGUCGGAUCUCCAGGCCUAUCUUGAAUGGGAGAAGAAGGUGGAGUUAGUUUUCGAGUGCCACAAUUACUCGGAAAGCAAGAAGGUAAAGUUAGCUGCUAUAGAAUUCUCCGAAUACGCCAUAAUAUGGUGGGAUCAACUCACGUUGAGCCGAAGACGCAAUGGCGAACGUCCCGUGUCUACAUGGGCGAAAAUGAAAGCCAUAAUGAGAAAGCGAUUCAUUCCUGCUUACUAUCACCGGGAGUUGUAUCAAAAGCUCCAAAGCUUAACUCAAGGCCAACGAAGCGUGGAGGAUUACUACAAGGAAAUGGAAGUGGCCAUGAUCCGCGCCGAUGUGGAGGAAGAUCGAGAAGCCACCAUGGCUCGAUUUCUCGCUGGCCUUAACUGAGAUAUUGCAAAUAUUGUGGAGCUACACCAUUAUGUCGAGGUCAUUGAUAUGGUCCAUAUGGCCAUAAAGGUUGAAAAACAAUUAAAGAGAAAAGGUACCUUCCAUUCUUUCCCUAAUACUUCUUCUACGACUAAGUGGGGGCAAGGGUCCAACAAACGAGACUUGCCGAGUCGAAAUAAAGAAGUAAGUGAGCUACAAAUUCAACAAACUAAUUACCGAAUCGAGUAAAGGAAAGAUGGAUGCCCAACCAAAUAGAUCCCGAGACAUCAAAUGCUUCAAAUGUCUUGGAAGGGGCCACAUCGCAAGCCAAUGCCCGAAUCGAAAUGCGAUGUUUGUUCGAGAUGAUGGAGAAAUUGAAUCCGAAAGUGAACAAGAGAAUGAGGCUGUUGAACAACUCGAAGAAGAGGAAGACAUCGAACAAGCCGAGAAUGGAGAAAUCUUGGUUGUGAAAAGAAGUCUCACUUUGCAAGGUGCCGAAAAUGAUCAACAACGCGAAAACAUCUUCCAUACGGGAUGUCAAGUGCAAGGUAAGAUUUGUUGCGUGAUAAUCGAUGGGGGAAGUUGUACAAAUGUGGCUAGUACGUUGAUGGUGGAGAAACUCGGAUUGGCCACCACCAAACAUCCCCAUCUGUAUAAACUCCAAUGGCUUAACGAUGGUGGAGAAUUGAAGGUAACAAAACAAGUGCUAAUUUCUUUCACAAUCGGAAAAUAUCAAGAUGAAGUGAUGUGCGACGUUGUACCGAUGCAUGCGGGGCAUCUUCUUUUGGGACGUCUGUGGCAAUUCGACAAGCAAGAAAUUCAUGAUGGUUACACAAAUUGAUUCUCUUUCAAACAUAUGGGACAAAUGGUGACUCUAGCUCCAUUAUCAUCGAAACAAGUGUACGAAGAUCAACUCAAAAUGAGGAGUUCGAUUGAAAAAUCAAAAGAAAUCGAGAGAGAGCAAAAAAAUGAAAAGAAUAAAGAAAAGAGUGAAGAAAAGAAGAAAAACAAAAAGAUGAGUGAUAAAAAAAGAGAGAGUGAUUCAAAAGAAAAAGAAAUGAGUGAUGAGAUUGAAAAAAAGAAUUUGUUUCUAAAAGAGAGGGAAGUUCGAAAAUCGAUGCUAUUGAAACAACCAUUGUUGGUUCUUUUGUACAAGGAGAGCUUGCUUGGCACUAACGAAUUUGAUGACAAAUUACCUUCUUCUGUUUUGUCUGUGUUGCAGGAAUUUCAAGACGUAUUCCCGGAAGAAAUCCCGAGUGGGUUACCACCUAUUCGUGGAAUUGAACACUAAAUCAAUCUUGUGCCGGGAGCCGCAAUUCCAAACCGACCUGCUUACUGGAGCAAUCCUGAAGAGACGAAAGAAUUACAAAAGUAGAUAAAUGAACUCCUUGAAAAGGGCUAUGUACGUGAAAGCCUUAGUCCAUGCGCCGUGCCUGUUUUACUAGUUCCGAAGAAGGAUGGAACGUGGAGGAUGUGCGUGGACUGCCGUGCUAUAAACAAAAUAACUAUCAAGUAUCGUCAUCCUAUACCACGAUUGGAUGAUAUGCUUGACGAGCUAAGUGGCGCGAGUUUAUUUUCAAAAAUCGACCUUAAGAGUGGUUAUCACCAAAUACGGAUGCGUGAGGGAGAUGAGUGGAAGACUGCGUUCAAAACGAAGCAUGGGCUUUACGAAUGGCUCGUUAUGCCAUUUGGCUUAACGAACGCCCCAAGCACAUUCAUGAGGCUUAUGAAUCACGUUUUAAGACCUUUUAUUGGUAGAUUUUGCGUAGUAUACUUCGACGAUAUAUUGAUCUAUAGUAAAAAUUUGGAUGAACAUAUUUUACAUUUAAAAUCUGUUUUGGAAGUAUUGAGAAAAGAAACCUUGUAUGCUAAUUUGAAGAAAUGUGAUUUCUGCACUAACAAAGUUGUGUUUUUAGGUUUUGUUGUUAGCUCGGAAGGUCUUGAAGUCGAUCAAGAGAAGAUCAAGGCGAUCCAAGAAUGGCCCCGUCCGACGAAUGUCUCCCAAGUUCGAAGUUUCCAUGGACUAGCAAGUUUUUACUGUCGAUUUGUGCCAAAUUUCAGCACCUUAGCCGCACCUUUAACCGGGGUUAUUCGUAAGAAUUCCAACUUCAUUUGGGGAGAGGAACAAGAAAAAUCCUUUUUGAAAAUUAAAGAUUGUCUAACUCAUGCACCGUUAUUAGCUUUGCCUAACUUUGAUAAAACUUUCGAGUUAGAAUGUGAUGCAUCAGGUUUAGGCAUUGGAGCUGUGUUGAUGCAAGAUGGUCGUCCUAUUGCCUAUUUUAGUGAGAAACUGAAUGGUGCUGUCUUAAACUAUCCAACAUAUGACAAGGAGCUCUAUUCGUUGAUCCGAGCCUUAGAAACGUGGCAACACUAUCUUUGGCCCAAGGAAUUCGUCAUACACACCGAUCAUGAGUCCUUGAAGUAUUUAAAGGGGAAACACAAGUUGAAUAAGCGGCACGCUAAGUGGGUAGAAUUUCUCGAAUCUUUUCCCUACGUUAUUAAAUAUAAGAAAGGUAAGGAAAACGUAGUGGCUGAUGCACUAUCUCGAAGGUAUGCGUUGCUAAAUAUUUUGGAUGCUAAGUUAAUGGGGUUUGUAUUUCUUAAAGAUUUAUAUGUCAGCGAUGCUGACUUUGGUGAAUUCUUUAGAUUAUGUGCAAAGGGAGCCUACGAGAAGUACUAUCGACAUGAUGGGUACUUAUUCCGAGAAGGAAAGCUUUGUAUACCCCAAGGUUCCAUACGAGAAGUGUUGAUCGAAGAAGCCCAUAGCGGAGGAUUAAUGGGGCACUUUGGUGUUGCUAAGACAUUAGCUACAUUGCACGAACAUUUCUUUUGGCCCAAGAUGCGACGAGAUGUCGAACGAUUUUGUAAUAGAUGCAUUGCGUGCAAACGGGCUAAGUCAAGAAUUAAGCCCCACGGUUUGUAUAAACCAUUACCUAUUCCCGAAACCCCUUGGUCUGAUAUCUCCAUGGAUUUUGUGCUAGGUUUACCUAGGAGUAAGAAUGGCCGAGAUUCAAUAUUUGUGGUUGUAGAUAGGUUCUCAAAAAUGGCCCAUUUUAUAGCAUGUCAUAAAACUGAUGAUGCCGUUAAUAGUGCUAACUUAUUUUUCAAAGAGGUGGUCAGGUUGCAUGGCAUGCCUAGAACGAUCGUGUCCGACCGAGACGCAAAAUUCCUUAGCCAUUUUUGGAGGACACUAUGGGGGCGUCUUGGAACAAAGUUGCUGUUUUCAACCACUUGCCAUCCGCAAACGGACGGCCAAACCGAAGUGGUCAACCGGAUUCUGUCUACAUUGCUUCGAGCUAUUAUUCGGAAGAAUAUGAAGGCUUGGGAAGAAUGCUUACCACAUGUGGAGUUUGCGUAUAAUCGAGCUGUUCAUUCAGCUACCAAAUUUUCUCCUUUUGAAAUUGUCUAUGGUUUCAAUCCAUUAACUCCACUUGAUUUAUUGCCAUUGCCUUCUAAUCAACUUGUUCAUGUAGAUGGGAAGCGCAAAGCUGAUUUCGUCAAGCAAUUGCACCAACGAGUUCGAGACAAUAUUGAGGCCAAGACCAAGAACUAUGAGCAACAUGCUAACAAAGGUCGUAAGCGAGUUGUGUUCGAACCGGGAGAUUGGGUUUGGUUGCAUAUGCGCAAGGAGAGAUUUCCUAUGCAAAGGCGAUCAAAACUUCUUCCGAGAGGGGAUGGACCGUUUCAAGUCCUUGAGCGAAUUAACGAUAGCUCCUAUAAAUUGGACUUGCCUGGUGAAUAUAAUGUUAGCGCGACUUUUAACGUUUCUGAUUUGUCUCCGUUUGAUGCAGAUUUCGAUUUGAGGGCAAAUCGUUCUGAAGAGGAGGGGAAUGAUGUGAGCUUGCCUACGAACCAAAUGGAGAACGAACAAGAAGCCAUUAAGCUGCCCAUUGGUCCAAUAACACGAGCUAGAGCUAAACGAUUCAAAGAUGCUAUUUUAGCAAUGGUGGAACGGGUUGAGGAAAAUGAUAGCAAGGAGUUUAAAAAUGAGCUGAACAUAUUCAACUUCUUUGAAGCUGAAUUUCAUUCUAGCUAAUUAAUUUGAUGCUGGAAUUUAGACCAUUUAAAUAAACAUUUAAAUAAGUUUCAUUACAGCUUUUAAAUAUGUCUUAAUUAAUUUAAGUGUUUAAUAUGUCUUGAUUUAGUUAAAUUAAAGAUGUCUUGAUGUCAUUUAGUUUGUCUAAAUUAUUACAUGUUUUUAAUUUGUCUAGCCGAAUUUAUGUGUUAUGAUUUGUUAAUAUUUAAGUUGUCUCAAUGUUAUUUAGGAUGUUCACAUUAUAUUUUAAUUUAGUUCAGAUGAAUUUGCUUGAAAUUAAUUAAGUUCAUGUUUAUUUUUAGGUGCAGCCGAAUUUGGAGAUGAAUUGGGCAGAUUCAUGCAUGGAGAUUCAAUGAAUUUGAAGAUGCAUGUGCAGCUGAACUAAUGCAUUAAAAGCUGAUUAAUUUUGGUGUUCUUCAAGGCAACUAUUCGGCCAAGAGUGAUCAAGCUUUUCAUCCUUUCAAGCUUGGCCGAUUCUCUUCCCAAGGGCGUAUAAAAGCUGUUCACACUAUGUCUAUUCGGUUCAGCCAUGUUCACACUUCAAGGCUCUUCAAAACCGUCCAUUCACACUUCUAAAUGGCUGUUCAAGUUGCCAAUUAAUGCUGGUAAUUUUUCAUCAAUAGUUGCUUCAUGAAUGAACUCAUUAAACUCCAUUGGCUGAAUGUAGCUCUGCUAUUUUUCCAAGUUCAUUGAAAGCUCUUCCUUGGUCUCUAUUCAGCCGAACCUUGAUGCAAGCAUAUACAUGAAUUUAAGCUAAAUUUUUGUUCAAUUUUUGCUUAGAAAUUAAGUCUAGAAUAUGUCCAUUCGGCUACUAGACAUUAGACUAUAAAUAGUUGCUCAAUUUCUUAUAAAAGGACUUUUGACAAAUUUCUGAAUGAAAUAUCAUUUUAGUGAGGCAAUUCACUCUCUUUAUUCUCCAAAGCUCUAAUUGACUUAUCUUCAACAAGUGGCGUCAAUCUAACUUUGUUUCGAACUUAUCACCAUUGGUGUGGCGUUCUUCAUACCGUAGGUUCCUAUUUUGCUAAAUAGAGGGUCUCGGUUUUAUCCCAAAUCCUUUCUUUCUUUGAAACCUUAAGCCCCGGGUCCUUAUUUGCUAAUAAGGGUUCGACUUGUUUUCAUUGAAAUAUCCAGUAAACAACACUCCAUCAAACUCCCUUGUUUCCCAAAGCCAUUUAAUUUUAAACACCAAGACUUGAAUUUAUUUCAAGGCCGACACUACCUAAUUUCGAUCGGGAAAUAUUACGACUCGUUAUUUCAUACGAAGUGAGCUCGUAUCAAAUCUCUUCAAACGGCUCUAAUCUCCCCUCCAAAGAAUAUCGAUGGCAAGAAGAAGGUUGAAGAUGGCUCCCACAAUCAAAAGAUUGUUAAAACAACUUCUAAAGAAAACUCAAGAGAGAAUUCUUAGAGAAAACCCCAAAGAAAAUUCUGCACUCAACAAAUCUGAAAUUUGAUAGAAAAAAUAAUAAUAAGAUGUUUACAAAGGGUGGCUGGCCAAUUCUUAUAUAGGCCCCCAACAAAUCCUAAUCUAAUUAGAAAACUUAAAAAAUUUAAACUUAAUUAAAAAAACAAAGUGAUGUGAUCCGGCUCGGUUGAUUGAGUCGAUUCACUUGAUUGCCCGAUCGUCGACGAGAAGUUUGUUCGAUUUUGUAGAUAGAUGGAGUUAGAUGAUUUUUUAUAGCGGAAGUUGAGAAAAUGGGUUCAAAAGAUGGUUUGGAUAGAUGUUUGAUAGGAUCGGUGAAAUAAAGAAAUAUUGUUUAUAAUUUAAUAGUUAAAAUGGAAUGGAAAAAUAGAACUCAAGCGAAGAACGAUUCAAUACUAUAUGAAGUAUUGCCCCGGGACUUAUAUUGCUUAAGGUGGGUUUAAUGGAUUGUCGAAGAUGGACCUUGACCCGUUACCUAUAGAGAGGUAGGAACCAAAGGUAUAAAAAGGUGGAUGAACGCCACACCAAGAUGGUGAUAAGUUUAAGAAGUCGGGUUGACGCCACUAGUGAGCUAGAUAAGUCAGAACGAGACUCGUACGAAAUAGGAUAGGAGGAAACCUCACAAUCAAGUUUUCAAUAAUCAAAUUCUGUAACCUUUUACAAUAAACAAGUAAGCUAUUUAUAAGCCUAAAAUGCCUAUUGAUAUUCGGCAUCUAUGUUGUUCACACUAACUUAAAUUCUGUUCACACAGGUAUUUAACAUGUUCACACAAAUAGCAUUAAAAUCCAGUUCAUGCUUGAAGAUGGUACAUGAAUUGGCCGAACCAUCAUGAUGCUUCACUUGAUGCAUUCAUGCAUCCUUAGCCUUGAAGAAUCUCCAUAAUUCCAUAAUGUGCAGCUCUUUAAUGAUCCUACAUCUCCCUUGGCUGAAUGAGGCAUUAAUGUGCCUAAAAUACUUGAAUGGUCAUCUUGAAAAUGCAUGAAUCAUGCAUGAAACGUCCCAUGUAUUUUCCCCCAUAAAUAUGAUCCAUGAAUCUUCAAAUACAUGAACUUUCAGCAACUCCCUCUUGCAUGAACGUACCAAAUGCAUGUGCUCCUUUAAAUGCCAUCCAUUGAACCUCAAUUGUGCAUGCACACUCCCAUACAUUGCACCAAUCCGUUCAUGAACCUGCAGCAAAUUAAAUCAGCAAGUUAAAUGCAUUUCAAACACAUUAAAUUAGCAGCAUAUGAACUCAAUAAUUUGCACAUUAAAUUUGGCCAUACAUAUUAACAAUUUUAGACAUAUUUAAAACAUCAUAAUUAAUUAAGUAUUUAAUUUAGAUAUAAUUAAAACACUUAAUUAAUUAUUUUUCCAGAUUUUAACAAAUUAACUAACUUAAGAUAAACAACUAAUUUAACUAAUGACAAAUUAAAUGGUUUAUUUCAGCAAAAUAAAUGCAAGCUAAAGAAAGCUAAAAAUAAGCUCAUUGGGUUAAGAUUGAGCUGAAUUGAGCUUGAGUGAGUUGACUUGAGCUCGAGUGAGCUGGAAACGAGCUAAACGGAGCUUAACAAAAUGAAAUUGAACUAAUUCAGCUCGCAUGGAUUUGCAAACAAUGCUUAGGGAGCUGAUCCAAAAGUGUGCCCGGGGCAUGGUCGUAUCACAAAGGAAAAUUCGGCCAUGCAUCCUAUUGGGCUGUUUUGGGCUGAAUUUAACAUGUGAUAUUCCUAAAACUUAAAAAUUAACUUAAACAACUAAAAUGUUUACAAAUUGGGUCCUUUGACAUUUUGGCCUGAUUUUCAACUAAAUAUGUAUGGAUUUCUUGGUUGGGCUGGGAAUUUGCUUAUUGGGCCUCGCCUUUAAGAAUUUGGGCUUGUGAUCCAUCUCCUACCAAAAUUGGGUCGUUGACGCUCGUAAUGGAGAUCCAACGCGCUUUGGCUGCAAGAUUCAGUUUCUUGGACCAAGAUUUCCAAGAUUUGAAAUCUUGAUUUUCUUGAUUCUUGAAAUCGCUCCGAACAGGAAAAUUGGGCCAAGAUUCAAUUUCUUGAUUUUCUUGAAAACAAGAAAGUGAAUCUUGAUUUUCUUGAUUUUAGCCCAUCACCUUCUUAAGCUUGGGUUGGGCCUUUGUGACUCGUAUCAUAUGGAUUUCUUGAUUGGGCUGGGAAUUUGCUUAUUGGGCCUCGCCUUUAAGAAUUUGGGCUUGUGAUCCAUCUCCUACCGAAAUUGGGUCGUUGACGCUCGUAAUGGAGAUCCAACACGCUUUGGCUGCAAGAUUCGGUUUCUUGGACCAAGAUUUCCAAGAUUUGAAAUCUUGAUUUUCUUGAUUCUUGAAAUCACUCCGAACAGCAAAAUUGGGCCAAGAUUUGAUUUCUUGAUUUUCUUGAAAACAAGAAAGUGAAUCUUGAUUUUCUUGAUUUGAGCCCAUCACCUUCUUAAGCUUGGGUUGGGCCUUUGUGACUCGUAUCUUCCUCAAAAAGAUUCGUCCUCGAAUCUAAAAAAAUCAAAUGAACUCGACUUUCCUCGAUCGAAUGGGACUAAUGGCAAUUGAGUCCACUGAAAAGAAUAGCCAUGAAAUAGUAAAUAGCAACGCAAACAAGCUUGUAGUCCAAUUAUAAGCAUAAUGGAACAGGUAUAACGCAUGUGAAUGGACAGAUUCAGAUUACCAUUGAUGUGAUCCGGCUCAGUUGAUUGAGUCGAUUCACUUGAUUGCCUGAUCGUCGACGAGAAGUUUGUUUGAUUUUGUAGAUAGAUGGAGUUAGAUGAUUUUUUUAUAGCGGAAGUUGAGAAAAUGGGUUCAAAAGAUGGUUUGGAUAGAUGUUUGAUAGGCUCAAUGAAAUAAAGAAAUAUUGUUUAUAAUUUAAUAGUUAAAAUGGAAUGGAAAAAUAGAACUCAAGCGAAGAACGAUUCAAUACUAUAUGAAGUAUUGCCCCGGGACUUAUAUUGCUUAAGGUGGGUUUAAUGGAUUGUCGAAGAUGGACCUUGACCCGUUACCUAUAGAAAGGUAGGAACCAAAGGUAUAAAAAGGUGGAUGAACGCCACACCAGGAUGGUGAUAAGUUCAAGAAGUCGGGUUGACGCCACUAGCGAGCUAGAUAAGUCAGAACGAGACUCAUACGAAAUAGGAUAGGAGGAAACCUCACAAUCAAGUUUUCAAUAAUCAAAUUCUGUAACCUUUUACAAUAAACAAGUAAGCUAUUUAUAAGCCUAAAAUGCCUAUUGAUAUUCGGCAUCUAUGUUGUUCACACUAACUUAAAUUCUGUUCACACAGGUAUUUAACAUGUUCACACAAAUAGCAUUAAAAUCCAGUUCAUGCUUGAAGAUGGUACAUGAAUUGGCCGAACCAUCAUGAUGCUUCACUUGAUGCAUUCAUGCAUCCUUAGCCUUGAAGAAUCUCCAUAAUUCCAUGAAUGUGCAGCUCUUUAAUGAUCCUACAUCUCCCUUGGCUGAAUAAGGCAUUAAUGUGCCUAAAAUACUUGAAUGGUCAUCUUGAAAAUGCAUGAAUCAUGCAUGAAAUGUCCCAUGUAUUUUCCCCCAUAAAUAUGAUCCAUGAAUCUUCAAAUACAAGAACUUUCAGCAACUCCCUCUUGCAUGAACGUCCCAAAUGCAUGUGCUCCUUUAAAUGCCAUCCAUUGAACCUCAAUUGUGCAUGCACACUCCCAUACAUUGCACCAAUCUGUUCAUGAACCUGCAGCAAAUUAAAUCAGCAAGUUAAAUGCAUUUCAAACACAUUAAAUUAGCAGCAUAUGAACUCAAUAAUUUGCACAUUAAAUUUGGCCAUACAUAUUAACAAUUUUAGACAUAUUUAAAACAUCAUAAUUAAUUAAGUAUUUAAUUUAGAUAUAAUUAAAACACUUAAUUAAUUAUUUGUCCAGAUUUUAACAAAUUAACUAACUUAAGAUAAACAACUAAUUUAACUAAUGACAAAUUAAAUGGUUUAUUUCAGCAAAAUAAAUGCAAGCUAAAGAAAGCUAAAAAUAAGCUCAUUGGGUUAAGAUUGAGCUGAAUUGAGCUUGAGUGAGUUGACUUGAGCUCGAGUGAGCUGGAAACGAGCUAAACGGAGCUUAACGAAUGAAAUUGAACUAAUUCAGCUCGCAUGGAUUUGCAGACAAUGCUUAGGGAGCUGAUCCAAAAGUGUGCCCGGGGCAUGGUCGUAUCAACCAUGCCUUAAUCAACGGUCUAUAGAUUCACUCACACAUGCAUUAUCAAAAACAAGAAUGUUUUUAUCAACCAUCAAAAUAGAUUUAUCAUCAAUAAAUAAAAUAGGACAGCCAAGCACGUUUCGAUCUAAGUGUUCAUCAACACGAUCUUUGUCGCUAUCCGAGGAGUACAAAAGUGUUUCAAAGGUUUCAAGCAUCUUACCUUGAUAAGCAAAAGAAUAAGGGUCGAUUUUACCUUUUUCAUUUAAAACAAACCUUCGUUCAUCAGGGGCAUAGUGUAGUCGAAUCUCCGUUGUUGAGUUAACCUUUGUCAAAUGGAACUCAAACUUCAUGUACAACCACAUAAACUAUUUAAGGCACGAAUACAAAUUGAAAACAAAUUUGGAAAAUUUCGUUACCUUAUUCUCCAAAACAGAUUUGGACAAAUUCGAGAAUUUUACACAAGGUAAAUCAAGAGAAUAACAAAUCACGCUUCUUUUCGUAAUGACUUUAUCAACCACAAUCGAAGAGUAACAAUUAAUCUGAUCAAAAUGAGGGGAUCUUUUAAGAACCAAGUCACCAAAAGUUUUAUCAAUAAUUUUCAAAUCUGCACUGGACUCGGUUUCUAAAAUUUCCUUACCUCGCUUACCUUCGGGAUCAUGUAGUGUGAUUUCAUCUUUCCCUAAGUUGAUCGUAUGAAAGCGUCUUUCAUUUGAGAGGUAUUGAAGUUGAAAGUUAUCUUUCGAUCUUUCGGGAACCUAAAAAGUAGCAACACAAGAAAAAUUCAUAUCUUGGUUAGUGGAAACAUUCCUCACUACCCUUUCCACGUCUUUUUCUUUUGUUUCUUUUUCUAAUUCAUUUUCUCUUCUUUCUUCAAUUUCUUUUUCACUCUCAAUCUCUUUUUGCUCUUUUUCAUUCUCUUUUUCUUUUUCCUCACUUGUUUUAACAGAAUUUUUCAGUUUGAUUUGGUCCUCAUGGACUUGUUCCGGAGUGAGCGGCACUAAGGUGAGUUUCUUUCCUUGAUGCUUGAAAGAAUACCUAUUGGUACGACCAUCGUGAGUGACUUUUCGAUCCAGUUGCCAUGGUUCUCCUAGCAACAAAUGGCAGGCUUGAAUAGGCAUUACGUCGCACACAACUUCGUCUUGAUACUUACCGAUAAAAAAGGCGAUGCACACUUGUUGAGUGACCCUAAAUUGGCCUUCGUUGCUAAGCCCUUGUAGUUGAUAAGGUUGUGGAUGUUUGGUAGUGGUUAAGCAAAGCUUUUCCACCAUCGUCGUGCUGGCUAUGUUCGAGCAACUUUCACCAUCAAUAAUAACUCUACAAAGCUUACCUUGUACAUGGCAGCGAGUAUGAAAGAGAUGUUCUCGUUGCUGCUCGCUCUUUGGUUUUGCCAAAGAUGAUUGUCCACGAUCAUGAAAAUCAUCAUCCAUUCUAGGGACACAUUGAGGGCUGCACUUAUAGGGCUGGUUAUCCCUAUCUUCCUUAAUUGGAUCUCGAUAUUGAUGUUUUUGAUUCACUCGUACCUCAUUCAAAGUAGUAUUCAAUGCUUGAAGUGUAGCAUUUAUUUGUGUGAUUGCAGCAGUAUGUUCGUCUAACUGUUGUUGGACUUUCAUAAGUGUAUCAUUAUUAUCACCUUUAGACAUCUUCAAAACCUGUAAAAAAUAAACACUCAACACUCAAAAAUAAAAGUUAGCAAACCUCACCAUUAAUCACUCAAAAAGAAAAAUCAAAUUCUCAAUGAGGUCGAAUUCAAUCUUGUGAGUUCUUUAUCAGAGUUUAUAUCAACCAAUUAGAGAGUGUGAACCAAACUACCAAAGAAUCCUAAUUUGCACUAGGAUGCCAAAAACUGACGAGACACCAAGUGAUUCGUGUUGCACCGGGGAAGGAGUUGUGCACACGUGUAAAUCCUACUAACACAAGAAACAAGAAGGUGUUAGAUAACAUAACGGAAUAAUAAAAGCAAACAAAUGAAAACCUACAGCUAAGAAUCAAUAAAAAUUGCUGAAAACAGAAAACCUGAAAAACUGCGGAGUAACUUGACAACUUCGUUCGAGGUGUUCUUGAUCUCUAAAAAUCACGAAAUUAAAUCUGGAAUGUACUUAAAUAUUUAAUUUUUGAUCUGGAAAUUUUGGGCACCAAAUUCAAGUCGCUGAAUCUUUUUUUAAAUUUUUAUUGAAUUUCAUAUUUUUUUUAUUUUUUUGACUUUUUUGACUGAUUUUUUUGCGGGAAUAAUUUUUUUAUAUUCAAUAACAGUUCCAAAAACAUUUAUGUAAAAUUUCAGAUCAAUCGGACAACGUUUACCCACUCAAAUGAAUUUUUUUUGAACAAUUUUUCUGGGUAAAACUGCUGUUUAUGCUUUAAAAAAUAGAGAUCAGUUUAGAAAUCAACCAAGAACACCCAAAACGCCCAAAAUCUGAUACCAAAUGAUACGGGGUUGCGCGCGGACCAAGAUCAAGUUGCCACGUCACGAGAAACUCCUACGAAAGAUCCUAGACGAACAGAUCUGAAAUCAAAAACAAAGAUUAAGAUUAAACCGAAUCAGAUUUGAAUUUAAAUCCCCAAAUUCAAUUAAAGGAGCAGCAAGAAUCAAAGAAAUAGAAUAGAUGAAUCAAACGAAAUUGGAAGUAUAGAAAGAUUGCGAAUCGGUCAACAAAUUGAUUCGGCCAAGAAUGCCCAAUUUCCAGCAAUCAAUUGAUUCCCAAAUUGAAAGAAAUCCAAUCGGCCAAACCCUAGGAAUUGGGGAUUUUUGGGUUCGAAUGGGUGCUGCCAAUAGGAGAACAACUUAAAUGAUGAAAUCUUGAGUUUAAUCAAUGCUGGAAAACAAACAAGAACAGCAAAAUAUUAGAUGAGAAAUCGGCACAAGUAUAAGCAAAGAAAAGUAAAGAAAGAAAUCGAAAAUAGCAAGAAUUAAAGGAUAAGUCCUAAAGAUCCUUAAAAUCCUGAAAGAUUUCACAAAUCUCUUCAAAUGGCUCUAAUCUCCCCUCCAAAGAAUAUCGAUGGCAAGAAGAAGGUUGAAGAUGGCUCCCACAAUCAAAAUAUUGUUAAAACAACUUCUAAAGAAAACUCAAGAGAGAAUUCUUGGAGAAAACCCCAAAGAAAAUUCUGCACUCAACAAAUCUGAAAUUUGAUAGAAAAAAUAAUAAUAAGAUGUUUACAAAGGGUGGCUGGCCAAUGCUUAUAUAGGCCUCCAACAAAUCCUAAUCUAAUUAGAAAACUUAAAAAAUUUAAACUUAAUUAAAAAAAAACAAAGGAAAAUUCGGCCAUGCAUCCUAUUGGGCUGUUUUGGGCCGAAUUUAACAUGUGAUAUUCCUAAAACUUAAAAAUUAACUUAAACAACUAAAAUGUUUACAAAUUGGGCCCUUUGACAUUUUGGCCUGAUUUUCAACUAAAUAUGUAUGGAUUUCUUGAUUGGGUUGGGAAUUUGCUUAUUGGGCCUCGCCUUUAAGAAUUUGGGCUUGUGAUCCAUCUCCUACCGAAAUUGGGUCGUUGACGCUCGUAAUGGAGAUCCAACGCGCUUUGGCUGCAAGAUUCGGUUUCUUGGACCAAGAUUUCCAAGAUUUGAAAUCUUGAUUUUCUUGAUUCUUGAAAUCGCUCCAAACAGCAAAAUUGGGCCAAGAUUCGAUUUCUUGAUUUUCUUGAAAACAAGAAAGUGAAUCUUGAUUUUCUUGAUUUUAGCCCAUCACCUUCUUAAGCUUGGGUUGGGCCUUUGUGACUCGUAUCAUAAUCCCAAAUUAUUCAAAACAAAACGGCACAAGCAGAAUUUAAUAAAGAAGAAUGAACAGCAAAAGAAUAAAGAAAAGUCCUAAGAAGCCUUGAAAUCCUGAAAGAUUUCAAAACUCCCUUCAAACGGCUCUAAUCUCCCCUCCAAUGAAGAUCAAUGGCAAAAGAAGGCUGAAGAUGGCUCCCACAAUCAAAAAGAUUGUUAAAACUACUUCUAAAGAAAACUUAAGAGAAAAUUCUUGAAGAACUCAAAGAGAAUUUUCACUCAAAGAAAAUCUGAAAUUUUCGAUGUAAUUGUAAUGUGUCUAACAAGGGUGGCCGGCCAUGCCUAUAAAUAGGUGAUACGAGUCACAAAGGCCCAACCCAAGUUCAAGAACGUGAUGGGCUCAAAUUACCACAAGGCCCAAUAACGAGAUCAAAGGCCCGACAAAUGCAUUCCAAACUAAAUGGGACCAUUAAAGAGUUCGUUAGCAAGGCCUUAGAUGCGUACACAAAAAAUGAGAAAAUCAAGAUUCACUUUCUUGUUUUCAAGAAAAUCAAGAAACCGAAUCUUGGCCCAAUUUUGCUGUUUGGAGCGAUUUCAAGAAUUAAGAAAAUCAAGACUUCAAAUCUUGGAAAUCUUGGUCUAAGAAGCUGAAUCUUGCAGCUAAAGCGCAUUGGAUCUCUGUCACGAGCAUCAACUACUCAAUUUUGGUAAAAGAUGGAUCACAAGCCCAAGUUCUUGAAGGCAAUGCCCAAUAAGAAUUUUCCAAGCCCAAGCAAGAAAUCUACCCAUAUUUAGUUGAAAAUCAGGCCAAAUUGUCAAAGGGCCCAAUUUGUAAACAUUUUAAUUGUCAAUUUAAAUUUUAGGCUUUAGGAAGGUUACAUGUUAAAAUUCGGCCCAAAACAGUCAAUUUAAGUGCAUGAUCGAAUUUAGCUAUUAUUUUUAUUAAUUAGGUUUAAUUUUUAAGUUUUCUAAUAAGAUUAGGAUUAGUCUAAGGCCUAUUUAAAGGCAUGGCCGGCCACCCUUGUACAUACUACUUCUCAAUUAUAUUGAAAAUUUCAGAUUUGUUUAAGUGCAGAAUUCUCUUUGAGUUUUUCUCCAAGAAUUCUCUCUUGAGUUUUCUUUAGAAGUUGUUUUAACAAUCUUUUGAUUGUGGGAGCCAUCUUCAACCUUCUUCUUGCCAUUGAUAUUCUUUGGAGGGGAGAUUAUGAUGCAACCUUAGCCCGGGAAAUUACUACCGAAUCCAUUGAGCUGCCACGAGGACCAAUAACUCGAUCACGAGCUAAGAGAUUUCAAAAUGUAAUAGCAAGCUAUGUGGAACGAGCUUGGGAAGAGGGAGUGGCCGAAUUUGAUAGUCGUGCUUCAAACCGUUCAAAAGGCGUUACUUGCAAUUUAUUGCAAGCUGAAUUUGUUUCUUUUAAUUAACUUGUUUUAAUUUAAUAAAUAAGUUGCUGAUAAAUUAAUUUAACUUAUCUUAAAGUUUUAAUACAUGAGUUAGUUAUUGAACUUUAUUAAAUAAGAUGCUUCUUAAUUGAUCUAGUUCCUAGGAUUAUUUAUUGAUGCAUAAAUUAAGUUCUUUAAAUUAUGCUUCAUUAAUUAAACUAGUUGCUGGAAUAAUUAUUGCAUAUAUGUUUUAGUUCAUUUAUUUAAGUAAGUUUAAUAUGUGUUAUGAUUAAUAAGUGUUUUAAUGUGUUUAAUAAACUCAUUUUAAUGUGUUUAUUGCAGGUGACUUUUUUGCUGAAUAUAGAUGUUAUAUUUGAAUUGUGAGCUAUCCAAUUCUCUUUGUUCUUACGGAAUUGAUUUGACUUAUCAAGCAUAGCUUGUGGCGUCCAUCUUUUCUUUGUUUACCGAACUUAUCACCUUUGGUGUGGCGUUCAAUAUACCUUUGGUUCCUAUCAUAGUUGAUAGUGGGUCAAGGUUUCUUGCUGUUUCUUUAAACCGUUAAACACCUAAGCACCAUUUUGAGAUUUGGGUCAACAAUUCCCUUAUUUGUUGGUUCAUUCUCAGUCUUAUCCAAUUAAUUUGUUAUUGUUUCCUAUCUAUUUUGUUUAUUACCUUUGUUUGAAGCCAUUAUUUCUAUUUUGUUUCCUUUAAACCGAAACGAUUCUAUUCUACUCAAUUCACGAUCGGGCAUCACUAACGACUCGAAUCAAUCACGAAACGAGUUCGUAUCAGAUUAGAGCCGUUUGAAGGGAGUUGUAGAAUCUUUUGGGAUUUCAAGGCUUCUUAGGACUUAUCUUUUAAUUUCUUGCUGUCAAUUUUUUUCUUUUAAAUUCUGCUUGUGUUGAUUUUAUUUAAUCACUUUGUUUGCUGUUCUUGUUGCGUUUCAGGCGUUCCAAAGCAUUCCAAAUCUGAUUCUCCCUCUUCUUUACUAAAGAUUGGAUCGCCUCUUUUGUUCUUGGCAGCAAAAUUCGUUCAAAAUCCCUAAAUUCCAUGUUCUUGCCGAUUUCUUCUUUUCAGAUUUGGGUUGUUUUGAUUGCUGGAAUUUUGGGGAAAUUUAACUUGUUGUUUGUGUCUUUCUUUUCAGAUUCAGCAGAUUGGAGUAUGCUUUGGGGUUCAAUUACAUGUUCUUGAUUCCCCAAGAACCUUUAUUAACACUUAUUCUUAUUCUCAAUUUGAUUCUUUUCUGGUUUUGGGAUUUUUAUUUCAGAUCUGGAAAUUCAAAGUUCUAAUCUUUUAAUUUCUAUUUGUUUCAGAUCUGUUCGUUUAGAGCCUCGUAGGAGUUUUUCUCGUGACUUGGCAACUCGAUCUUGGUCCGCGCGCAACCCUCUAUCAUUUGGUAUCAGAUUUUGGGCGUUUUGGGUGUUCUUGGUUGAUUUCGAAACUGAUCUCUAUUUUUUAAACUACAAACAGCAAUUUUACCUAGAAAAUUUUUUGAAAAAAAUUCAUUUCAGUGGGUAAACGUUUUCUGAUUGAUCUAAAAUUUUACAUUCAUAUUUUUGGAACUGUUAUUGAAUAUAAAAAAAUUAUCCCCGCAAAAAAAUCAGUCUAAAAAGUCAAAAAAAUCAAAAAAAUAUGAAAUCUAAUAAAAAUUUAAAAAAAUAUUCAGUGGGUUGAAUUUGGUGCCCAAACUUUCCAGAUAAAAAAAUUAAAUAUUUAAGGACAUUCCAUAUUUAAUUUCGUGAUUUUUGGAGAUCGAGAACACCUCGAACGAAGUUGUCAAGUUACUCCGCAGUUUUUUGAGUUUUCUGGUUUCAGCAAUUUUUAUUGAUUCUUAGCUGUAGGUUUUCAUUUGUUUGAUUUUAUUCUCCCUUUACAAUAUCUAACACCUUCUUGUUUCUUGUGUUAGUAGGAUUUAAACGUCUGCACAAUCCUUCCUCGGUGCAACACGAAUCAAUUGGUGUCUUGUCAGUUUUUGGCAUCAUAGAGCAAAUUAGGAUUCUUUGGUAGUUCGGUUCAUACACUCUCUAAUUGGUUGAUAUAAACUCUACUAAAGAACUCACAAGACUGAAUUCUACCUCAUUGAGAAUUUGUUAUUUCUUUUUGAGUGAUUAAUGGUGAGGUUUGCUAACUUUUAUUUUUGAGUGUUGAGUGUUUAUUUUUGUAGGUUUUUGAAAAUGUCUAGAGGUGAUAAUAAUGAUGACACAUUUAAAAAAUUCCAACAACAGUUGGACGAACAGGCUGCUGCACUUCGAGCUUUGACUGCUACCAUCAAUGAAGUGCGAUUGAAUCAAGAGUCUCAAUAUCAAUGAAGUGUGAUUGAAUCAUAGGUGCGGUCCUAGACGUGUCACUAGAACUAAUGUUGAUUUUCAUGAUCAUGGACAACCCUCUUUGGCAAAACCGAAGUUCACAAUUCCCUAAUUUCGUGGUAAGAAUGAUCCAGAAGCUUAUUGUGAAUGGGAAUCUAAGAUUGAACUUAUGUUUCAGUACUAUAAAUGUCCGGAUGAUGAAAAGGUGGCAUUAGCAACUCUAGAAUUUUUAGAUUAUGCAUUAAGUUGGUGGACUCAACUUGGGGUAAAUCGUCAUCGAAAUUAUGAAGGUGAGAUCUCGACAUGGGAUGAGUUGAAAUAGAUUAUGCGUAAAAGGUUUAUUCCACCUCACUACUAUAGAGAAAUUAAAACAAAGCUGAGAAGACUUGUUCAAGGUAGUAGGACGGUGGAUGAAUAUUUUAAGGAGAUGGAGAUGCUCGUUCAGAGAGCUAAUGUGGAGGAGGAUGAGAAAACAACUAUGGUUCGAUUUAUUGAAGGUUUGAAUAGGCCGAUAGUUAAUACAUUGAGGCUACAAACUUACAUUGAUUUGGAAGAAGCAGUUCACAAAGCCAUUGAGAUCGAGCAACAAUUAAAGAACAAAGGUUUGGGUCCUUCUCUACUUCACAAUAUUACCGAGGUAACAAUUUCAAUUCUGAUUUUAAAAGUUCAAAAUCACCUUUUGUUACUAAUAAGUCUUCUUUGAGUAACAAGCAAUCAGAUUGGAAAAAAGGGGCUCCUGCUAAAACGCAAACACCUUCUAAGCAGCCCAAUUUAGGUGAUUCAAAUAUGAAGAGGACUCGUGAGAUUGAAUGUUUUAAGUGCAAAGGGCGUGGUCAUUAUAGUAGGGAAUACCCUAACACGAGAUUACUUCUUCUGAAAGAUAAUGGUGAGUACACUUCUGACUUUGAUAAAACAGAUCCAGAUAUGCCAGAACAUGUGGAUGACAGUGAUAAUGGUGAAGAGUUGGUCGAACCACCAAAAGAACGGUACUUUGCUAAUUUUCAAUGCCUUGUAGUUCGCUGAACCCUUAACAUCCAGAUGAAAGAUGAUGACAACCAAAGGACAAAUAUUUUCCAUUCUCGGUGUUUUAUUAAAUGAUACACCCCGGCCUCAGUGAUGAGAGUCAAGUCGUUGAUGUGCCCGGUCGUGAAUUGGAGUAAUAUUAAUGAUGCGAUCCCGGUCGCAUCAUGUUACGACACAACUCGAUGCUACCGAGAUUGGCCCAAACUCGAGGGGCCCAAGUGCAAAAUGAAUUUUUUAAUUUCAGUUUGUCAAUUUGGUAGCUGGAAAAUAAGGACUUUGAUUCAUUAAUUUUUAGUUAUUUUAGUUUGUGUUUUUAAUUAUGUCAUAGUUUGCACAUCAUUAAUAUCUGUUCUGCAUUUAAUAAAGUCAUGCAUUAUGUAACUUUCAUGUUAGUUAAGUUUGCAUCAUUAAAUUAAGUCAAGUUAGUUUAAUUAUGUAACUUUCAUGUUAGUUAAAUUUGCAUUUCAAAACCAUGCAUUUAAGCAUCUUAGUUUAAUAAAUGAGUUGCUGGACAUUUAUUCAACUCAUCUUAGUUUUAAUUAAUAAGUGUUUUUGUUGAACUUUAUUUAUUAAGUGUUGUUCUUAAUUAAUCUAGUUCCUAGGAUUAUUUAUUGAUGCAUGAGUUAAGUUCAUUUAAUUAUGCUUCUUUAAUUAAACUAGUUGCUGGAAUAAUUAUUGCAUAUAUGUUUUAGUUCAUUUAUUUAAGUAAGUUUAAUGUUUGUUAUGAUUAAUAAGUGUUUUCAUUUGUUUAAUAAACUCAUUUUAAUGUGUUUAUUGCAGGUGACUUUUUAGCUUAUAGUGGUUACAAUUCAAGGCUGUUACACAUUUAAUUAAGUGGUUGUUCAAGUUCUUUUGAGUUACAAUUAAAGGGGCUGCUAUAAAGGGAGCUUAAAAUCAUUAAAGGAGUUUUUAAAGAGCAUUUUAUGCCCUUUAAAAUUCAGCAGCAACUCUUCCACUUCCAGCCAUUUUUGGAGCUUUCAAGAGAAAUUAAUCAAGCCUUUAAAUGUCAUUAAGGAGCUGGUUAAGAGAUGGUGACUAUUCAACUAGCCAAGGACAACUCAAGAGUCAUUUUCUAAGCCAUUAAAGACAUUCAAAUCAGCUGAAUUAAAGUGAUUUUAUGGAAGGAGUUAUUUGGUUCAAAGAAUAAGAAAAGACAUCAGUUUUUACGGCACAUUAAGUGGAUGUUUUUGACCAUUCGGUUACCUUGUUUUAGCAUUAUAAAUAGAUGUAAUCAGCCAUAGAGAAGGAGAACUUUUUGCUGAAUAUAGAUGAAAUAUUUGAAUUGUGAGCUAUCCAAUUCUCUUUGUUCUUUCGGAAUUGAUUUGACUUAUCAAGCAUUGCUUGUGGCGUCCAUCUUUUCUUUGUUGCUGAACUUAUCACCUUUGGUGUGGCGUUCAAUAUACCUUUGGUUCCUAUCAUAGUUGAUAGUGGGUCAAGGUUCCUUUCCUGUUUCCUUUAACCGAAAAACACCUAAAGACCAUUUUGAGAUUCGGGUCAACAAUUCGUUAUUGUUGGUUCAUUUUCGGUCUUAGCCAAUUAAUUUGUUAUUGUUUCCUCUUUAUUUUGUUUAUUACCUUUGUUUUAAACCAUUAUCUCUAUUUUGUUUCAUUUUAAAACCGAAACGAAUCCAUCCUUACUCAAUUCACGAUUGGGCAACACAUACGACUCAAAACAUCACGAGACGAGUUCGUAUCAAUUAAGGUUUAUCGAAGAUAGGUUAAGAAAGAAAGAAUAAAGGCUCAAAUUGGUUCAAAGAGGUUAUAGAAUGAAUGGAGAUUGUUAGGUGAACGUAAACCAAGUAUUAAAGUUGAUCUAACACAAUAUAAGUGUGUUAUCCCGAAACUUAUACGAAUGCUUAGGUUGAGAUUGUAACGGUUAGGAAGGUAGGUAAUAGAAACGCAACCUCGACCCACUAUCAAUAUUGAUAGGAACCUCGGUAUAACUUGAACGCCACACUUUGGGUACAAAGUGAUAAGUUCGAAAUACAAAAACGAGUUGACGCCACAAGGGUUACUUGAUAAGUCUAACCAGUCCUUGGAGAACAAUGAGAGUUGAAAACAAACUCACAAAGUAAACAAAUUUCAUAUAAAGUUUUAAAAAUAUAUUGUCUAACCUUUACAAAGCUUAUAACCAAGGUAUUUAUAGACAAAAAAUAAGGUAAACGAAUGGCCACAAAUCAGCCCUUAAUGUUGUUCUAGAAGGAUGAAUAAAUGCUUAAACUCUUUACUUCAACCGAACAGCCAAUAUUGGUUUCUUAAAUCCGUUCAUUCAUCCUUAGCUAGGAAGUAAGUUGAUCAAGCUCCUAUCCAUGCACUUGGAACAAUGGUGGUGGCUGCACAUUAAUGUAUACACAAAGGGUGGCUUGGGAAAAUAAAUCAGCAACACCUUUUGAUACGAGUCAUAAAGGCCCAAUCCAAGUUCAAGAACGUGAUGGGCUCAAAUUGCCACAAGGCCCAAUAACGAGAUCAAAGGCCCGACAAAUGCAGUCCAAACUAAAUGGGACCAUUCAAGAGCUUGUUAGCAAGGCCUUAGAUUCAUACACGAGAGAACAAGAAAAUCAAGAUUCACUUUCUUGUUUUCAAGAAAAUCAAGAAAUCGAAUCUUGGCCCAAUUUUGCUGUUCGAAGAGAUUUCAAGAAUAAAGAAAAUCAAGAUUUCAAAUCUUGGAAAUCUUGGUCCAAGAAACCAAAUCUUGCAGCCGAAACGCAUUGGAUCUCCAUUACGAGCGUCAACGACCCAAUUUUGGUAGGAGAUGGAUCACGAGCCCAAAUUCUUGAAGGCGAGGCCCAAUAACCAAAAUCCAGCCCAAUCAAGAAAUUUCUUCAUACUUAGUUGAAAAUCAGGCCAAAAUGUCAAAGGGCCCAAUUUGUAAACAUCUUACUUGUUUAAUUUAAUUUUUUUUAAUCUUUAGGAGCAUUACAUGUAAAAUUCGGCCCAAAAUAGCCCAUAUAAGUGCAUGGCCGAAUUUACCUUGUUAUUUUAUUAAUUAGGUUUAAUUUUUAUUAGUUACUUGUGAGAUUAGGAUUUGUUGGAGGCCUAUAUAAGCAUUGGCCAGCCACCCUUUGUAAAAUCAUCUUAUUAUUAUUUUUCUAUCAAAUUUCAGAUUUGUUGAGUGCAGAAUUUUCUUUGGGGUUUUCUCCAAGAAUUCUCUCUUGAGUUUUCUUUAGAAGUUGUUUUAACAAUCUUUUGAUUGUGGGAGCCAUCUUCAACCUUCUUCUUGCCAUCGAUAUUCUUUGGAGGGGAGAUUAGAGCCGUUUGAAGGAAUUUGUGAAUUCUUUCGGGAAUUCAAGGGUUCUUAGGACUUUUCUUUAUUUCUUGCUGUUUCGAUUUGUUUCUUUAUUCCUACUUGUGCGAUUCAUUAUCUAAUCUUUUUGCUGUUCUUGCUUGUGUUUCAGCUUUGUUUAACUCCAAGAUCCUUCCAUUUAAUCGGUCUACUUUUGGGCAGUAAAGUUUCGAACCAAAAUCCCUAAAUCCUAGGGUUCUUAUCGAUUAAUACAUUCUGAUUUUGGGGAAAUCAAGUUGCUGGAAUUUGGGGUUUUUAUUGUCGGUUUGUUCUUGGGCAGAUUCGGCUGGUGGGAUUUCACUAUUGGAGUUCGACUUCAUCUUCUUAAACUCCGAAUACAUUUAUUCAUUCGUUCUUUGUUCCUUGCUGCUCAUUUAAUUGAAUUUGGGGAAUUUCAAUUCAAUUCAGAUUUGCUUUUAAUCUUGUUCUUUGUUUUAAUUUUCAGAUCUGUUCGUUUAGAGCUUUCGUAGGAGUUUCUUGUGACUUGGCAACUCGAUCUUGGUCCGCGCGCAACCCCGUAUCAUUUGGUAUCAGAUUUUGGGCAUUUUGGGUGUUCUUGGUUGAUUUCUAAACUGAUCUCUAUUUUUUAAAGCAUAAACAGCAGUUUUACCCAGAAAAAUUAUUCAAAAAAAUUCAUUUGAAUGGGUAAACGUUGUCCGAUUGAUCUGAAAUUUUACAUACAUGUUUUUGGCACUGUGAUUGAAUAUAAAAAAAUUAUUCCCGCAAAAAAAGCAGUCAAAAAAGACGAAAUUCAAUAAAAAUUUAAAAAAAGAUUCAGCGGAUUGAAUUUGGUGCCCAAAAUUUCCAGAUCAAAAAUUCAAUAUAUAAGGACACUCCAUAUUUAAUUUCGUGAUUUUUGGAGAUCGGGAACACCUCGAACGAAGUUGUCAAGUUACUCCGCAGUUUUUCGGGUUUUCUGUUUUCAGCAAUUUUUAUUGAUUCUUAGCUGUAGGUUUUCAUUUGUUUACCUUUAUUCUUCCUUUACGUUAUCUAACACCUUCUUGUUUCUUGUGUUAGUAGGAUUUAAACGUGUGCACAACUUCUUCCUCGGUGCAACACGAAUCAAUUGGUGUCUCGUCAGUUUUUGGCAUCCUAGUGCAAAUUAGGAUUCUUUGGUAGUUUGGUUCACACUCUCUAAUUGGUUGAUAUAAACUCUGAUAAAGAACUCACAAGAUUGAAUUCGACCUCAUUGAGAAUUUGAUUUUUCUUUUUGAGUGAUUAAUGGUGAGGUUUGCUAACUUUUAUUUUUGAGUGUUGAGUGUUUAUUUUUUACAGGUUUUGAAGAUGUCUAAAGGUGAUAAUAAUGAUACACUUAUGAAAGUCCAACAAUAGUUAGACGAACAUACUGCUGCAAUCACACAAAUAAAUGCUACACUUCAAGCAUUGAAUACUACUUUGAAUGAGGUACGAGUGAAUCAAAAACAUCAAUAUCGAGAUCCAAUUAAGGAAGAUAGGGAUAACCAGCCCUAUAGGUGCAGCCCUCAACGUGUCCCUAGAAUGGAUGAUGAUUUUCAUGAUCGUGGACAAUCAUCUUUGGCAAAACCAAAGAGCGAGCAGCAACGAGAACAUCUCUUUCAUACUCGCUGCCAUGUACAAGGUAAGCUUUGUAGAGUUAUUAUCGAUGGUGAAAGUUGCUCGAACAUAGCCAGCACGACGAUGGUGGAAAAGCUUUGCUUAACCACUACCAAGCAUCCACAACCUUAUCAACUACAAGGGCUUAGCAACAAAGGCCAAUUUAGGGUCACUCAACAAGUGCGCAUCGCCUUUUCUAUCGGUAAGUAUCAAGACGAAGUUGUGUGUGACGUAAUGCCUAUUCAGGCCUGCCAUUUGUUGCUAGGAGAACCAUGGCAACUGGAUCGAAAAGUCACUCACGAUGGUCGUACCAAUAGGUAUUCUUUCAAGCAUCAAGGAAAGAAACUCACCUUAGUGCCGUUCACUCCGGAACAAGUCCAUGAGGACCAAAUCAAACUAAAAAAUUCUGUUAAAACAAGUGAGGAAAAAGAAAAAGAGAAUGAAAAAGAGCAAAAAGAGAUUGAGAGUGAAAAAGAAAUUGAAGAAAGAAGAGAAAAUGAAUUAGAAAAAGAAACAAAAGAAAAAGACGUGGAAAGGGUAGUGAGGAAUGUUUCCACUAACCAAGAUAUGAAUUUUUCUUGUGUUGCUACUUUUCAGGUUCCCGAAAGAUCGAAAGAUAACUUUCAACUUCAAUACCUCUCAAAUGAAAGACGCUUUCAUACGAUCAACUUAGGCAAAGAUGAAAUCACACUACAUGAUCCCGAAGGUAAGCGAGGUAAGGAAAUUUUAAAAACCGAGUCCAGUGCAGAUUUGAAAAUUAUUGAUCAAACUUUUGGUGACUUAGUUCUUAAAAGAUCCCCUCAUUUUGAUCCGAUUAAUUGUUACUCUUCGAUUGUGGUUGAUAAAGUCAUUACGAAAAGAAGCGUGAUUUGUUAUUCUCUUGAUUUACCUUGUGUAAAAUUCUCGAAUUUG
rnacentral:lncRNA from 1 species